AGCUUUGUCAUCAUCCUCGUCGUCGUCGUCUUCUCCGAAGGAAGGAGUAAAGUGUAAGGGUAGGAAAAGGUGAUGCUUAGCUGCUUGUCUUUGUUAUUCAUUUCUAGGAAACUAAGAGAGUUUUACCGAGUUUGAUUGUUACUUGUAGAGAGAUACUCUUAGAGCCUAUGUUAUGGCUUAUGUUGUAUAAUAGCAGAGGAACUUCAAGCUUGCAUUGUUGUAUUUUCCCUGGUAUUUGGCAUGUAAUAUACUAAAUGACAAAGAAUUUUCUAAUUUUAGAGGGGAAAAAUGUGUCAGUUAAUUAUUUGUUUAUUUUAUCUGUUUAAUUCAGUUUAUAAUAUAGCUUUUCUUUUAUAAAAAAAAAAUCUCCUAGCUUCAUCUGCAAAUUCAGUCAUGUGUAACUUCUUUCAGGGAGAAAAGAAGGGAAAAAAAAAAAAAAAAGCAUUUGUACCUAUAUUUUAGAGUACUGACUCUCAUACAGAAAUUGGUUAAGAUGACAUUAAUGUUCUUUAAAAUAGAUGGAUAUGCAUAAUUUUCAUCGAAAUUGAAAUUAGAAAUGGAUCAAUAUGAAUGAUAUAUAUACAGAACUUUUUAAUAGAAUUUUUAUACAAAAAUUUGUAGCUCAUUACUCUCCAGAAGAAAAAUAAAUUUUUAAUUGUAGAUAUUAAGUUUUAAAUUUAUAAUGUAAUAAAUGUGACUUAAGGUGCACAGCACCCAUAUAAUAAUAAUUAACAAAAUAAAAUUCAAAACCAAUUUUUUAAAAUUAAUUAUUUUUAUACCUAAAUUCUCAUGCUCGACGGCCGCUGGAAUUGGCUAUUGUAAUUUUGUCAUCCUCAUUAUUCACUGGCCAUUUUUGGACCAUGACAUAAUAGAACUUGGGUCAAACUUUCAUCUUUAAAUCACAUAGGUAGAUCACGAUUCAAGCUUCAGUUAUAAGCCUUUCAUUCUUUCUUGAUAUAUCUAUAUAUAUAUAGAUUCAGUUUGAAUAUGGUUCUUCAUAGUAUCAUGGAAAAUGCAAACGAAAAGUCAGCAUCUUUGAGUUUUGCCUCAUCGUAUUCAACUUGUUGGUCUACUAAUCAAUCAACAGGCUAUGGAAAUAGCUGGUGCAGAUACCGCCACUGGCCUUUCAGCAUUAGGACGAAAAGGACUAAGUGGGAACUUGAAGGAGGUUGAUUUGAAUGAAACGCUCUCUAUGCAAGCCAAGAGAUGCCAAUUGAGACUGCAAACUCUGCUCAAAACAGGUAUUUAUAUACUUUUUUAACUUUUGCACCUUUCUAUUUACUGAUUAUCUUUUUAAUUAACUAAUACAUGUAUCCAUGUUUCUCCUUCCAUUUCAUUAGAAGUAAUGUGCAGCUAAUUAAUCAGCAUAUCAGUAUACAACAAUACUUCCACAUAAGCAAAUAAAUCUUACAAUCCUUCUUACAUGAUUUAAAAAAAAAUACUUCUAGAAGUCUUCUAAAUACAAACAUAAACAGAAUUCAACUGCUAAAACCAUACCAAGAUUCAAGCUUCAAUCAGUAAUACACACGGCUAAUUAUUAAAAACAUCUAGCCAGAAACCUUAUUGAAGCUCAAUCCUUCCGAAGCAUUCUUCAAAUUAAUAAUUGCUACUAUCUGUGAAAAAUAAUUGACAAGGAGUCAGCUGUUAACUCAAUCAGUAGAAACAUUCAUAACGAACAAAAAGAAUUCUUUGUGCAAUAGUUUCAGAAAAUUCAUUUAACCCUUCAAACGAAACAGAGUAAUUUUUCUAACGCAGUCAUGAUUUAUAUAAAACAUAAACAUUAGUUUGAUUUUAAAGGGAGGUUAUUGGGAAGUUAAAAUUGGCAGUUGUGGGAAAAGGGUAAUAGCAAUUAUAAAAUCUCUUUUAAAGCAAAUUCAAAUCAAGUUUCAAAUUUUAGGAGUACUUAAUUCAAUAAAAUAAGGAAUAAAUAAAGCUUUCGUUGAAACAAAACUAAGUAAAUUCAUUUAAAGCAAAACAGGAUGCGAGCAUUACUACGGGUUCUUAUGUUUACCCGCAGUCAGACAUCCGGGACCUUGUUAUUUGGAGACAAGACUUGAUUGUGGCAUGUUUCCGCAGCCAGAUAUCUUUUACUUCAUUAUUUCCUAAACAUCUGUGGAUAAGAGAACCCUAAGCCUAUUGAGAAUAAAUUCUGUAAUCCAAGACUCUUCAAUUCUUUCAUUUGUGGCUAAUUAGUUAUAAAAUUUUGGAAUUUCAUGCUCCAUGGCACUUGCAAAAUGUAUUUUAUAUCCUUAAGAUGCCAGUGGAUGAACUGAAAUAAUAAAAAUGGAAAACAGACUUAAUGUCGAUAGCAUUUCUUAAGAAAAAAUUGGGAUGUUUAUAAUUUUCUUAGAGCAUUUGCUGAACUUUCUGUGAUCGCAGUUGAGACGUGUGACCGCAACUUCCCUCAUUGCUCAGUAGUGGCUGAUAAUUUUUUGCAUUUCAACUCCCCUCAUUGCUCAGAAGUGGUUGAUGAGUUUUUGGAUUGUGAUUGGUCCGAUGCGUCCUUCCUAGAAAAGGGUACUCCUGAUGAGCAGAAACUCAAAAGGGCAGGCUUCAUGAAACUUAAAAGUAGACAUGCAGGAGGCAUUCUGCGAGGACCUGGCUUAUCACCGUCGUUCAGGGCUGCCAUCAUCCUGGUCGGCAUUUUACAAGUACAUGGCUGAGCGCAAUCGUUCAGGUAUGUCGACAUCCUCGGCAUCGAGCAAUUAAGCAUCACCUUUCCCUAAAAGUCAUAUUUGACAGCUAGGAAACUAAAAAGAGUUUAGCGCGCCCGAUUGGUAUUUGUAUUUUUUUUUUUUUUCCCUCAAGUGAUCUGGUAUGUAUCAAUUAGUUUGUAAAUUAUUGUAUUGUCUCAAGUCCCGUUAGACGCGAACGUAUAGCAUGGAUCACAAACUCAUUUCAUAUAACAUUGAUUUUGUAAAAUUAUAUAAUUUAUAGGCUAUGCUCAAAAAAUUAGAAAAGAAAAAAGAAUUGUAUUACAAUUGGUACGAGGCAUGCAUGCGUAUGUCAUAUCAGUUGCUGAACAAACUUUGCCUUUUAAUUUUGUAGGCAUUACUAUCUCAAAUUUUCUAUUAUCAUAAAUGAAUUUUCUUUUUCUUUUUAACAAAUCAUAAAUGAGAUUAAGAUAAUUUUUUUUUUUUAAAAAAAAAGAAAACUGGAGAUUUCUUUUUAUAUUUCCUUAAAAAAUGAAGAAAAGUUUAGAAAGUAGUGAGAGAUGGAGAAAUAAAGUAUUUAUAUUCAUAAAUAUAAUUUGUUUGGUGCAGCAACACAAACUAAUAAAUUAUAACUUAUGGGAUUAGUUUACAGAAUCUUACAUAUAAAAUUAUAUCCUCUGAAUAAAAAUCUUCACACCUCUUUUGACUUCUCAUUUAGACCCCCUUUCUGGAACCUCUUCAGCGAUAAACACAUUUUCAUUAAGCAAAACAGAAAAAAUUAUAUAUAAUUGUUCAUAACGACCAUUUCAUUUGUACAUAGUAUGUAAUUGGCCACUAAAAUUAUUUGAGGGGAAAAUUUACAUGAGAUGGGUGCAUCACAUUAUCAAUAUUUUAGUCUCAAUUUGAACAUACAUUCGCUGCACGAAUCUUAUUAGAAUGGUCUCUCAUAAAUUUUUCUCCAAUUUGAGAGAUAGUGGGGAGUGAUCAAAGUGCAUCUAUACAGAAUUAAUUAAAAUAAAUUUUAUUUUUUAACUAUUUUUACUCAAAGUAGUAGUUCUUCUUUUUAUUAGUGUUCUUCCAAUUAUAUCAAAUUAAGUAGUUCAUUAAAUUUUUUAAGUAACGUAUGGUCUGGAGUUUUUAUACAUCCAAUAUUAGUGUUAUUCCUUUUGCCCUUUCGAGCACGAAUUCGAAUCCAAUACUUUAUAAUAAAGAUAUAAAAUUAUUCAGUUCAAAAGAUAUAACAUUAUUAUAAUACUAAUAAUAACAUUAAAAUAUUAAAAAAUAAGUAAAAAAAAAAUCCAAAAUUUUUACUGGUAUACAACGCAUAGCCAAAGCGAUAGCGAAACAUCAAAUUGUUUUUAUUUCAAUCUUCGCGCAACUGCCGGUGACAUAUUUUUUCUCUGUUUCACGUAAAUACCCAAAACUAAACUUUGCAUGUAUCAUUCUUGUAUUUUUGUUAUUCAUUCACAGAUCCUUCUCUUCUUUGCUUUUCUUUUUUGCUGUAAUUUUUUAUUAGACACUCUGUUUCAGUUCUGUUUCUGGUUUUGUUUCAGUUUAAUAUUAUUGGUUCGGUUAUGUUCUGCUCUGUUCUCUGUUGUAUAUAUAUAUGUAUAUAUUUUUGGCCUCGAAUUGCUUUGAUCACCGGUUUUGUAAUUCAUUUAUCAUGAAUUUUAGAUACCCAUUAAACUUGUUUGGUCAUGCAUUCACUUGAUUGUUAGAUUCAGCUGCCAUUUUCAUGGUGGGUUUGUAAGAUAGUCUCUGACUAACAUACGGCAUUGAUUAUGAAUGAUGGUUUUGUGAGAUACAUCAUACAGACGUUAACUCGUAUUAAUGUGUACUCACUUCAUUCAAAAGAUUAGUGUUUUUCUCUUCUUUUUUUUUAAAUUUGAAAUGCAUCUUUUCGCAUUUUAUAGGUGAAAGAAAGAAAAAUAAUAUUGCAGAACUAGAAUAAAGAAGCCCAUUGUGGUAUCUAUUGUCCAAGGAAGCUUCAAUCGAAGUCAAAUCUUAGCAGAGCUAGGCGGAGUCGUUGCUGAAGGAAUAUAUAUUAGCAGACCCAUUUGUCCCGUACACUUCAAUUGUUGGCAGCAUUUUUGCUUGCAAGAUGGUUUGUUUUUCAUCGUUACUUACAAGCAAAUAUUUUGAAUGCAUAGUUUUUAUCUAAUUAGUUAUAAAAUUCUUAUACCCGCUGUUUUCUGUAAGAGUGUGUUCCUUUUCAGGUCUAUGAUCUUGCCCAAUUGAUGAGUGCUGUUCACUUUAAAAGUUAUUCCAGUUUCUCCUGCAUACAGCGGGCGGAGUGGAGUAACAGGUGAUCGAAUACUUUCAUUUAGUUCAAUUGACAUUUCUUUUUCAAUUGGUAAAGUUUAAUCAUUUUUGUUAAAUCGACAACUUAUGCAGGGCCAUAUCAACCGUCCAUGCCAUUUUUGUUACAGCUAUGUCUUUGUACUUCGUGUUUUGGUCUGAUCUCAGAGUUUGUGCGUAGCACACUUGUUUCUAUUGUUUGAUUGUCCCUUCAUAGACAUUUCGAUAAACUGUUAUUUUUGUUCUUUGGAAGUGAAUAUUUUCCGCAACUAGAACUCCGAAGCAUCUGGAAUGAUCCAUUUUAUGAUUCUUAAUACCUAUAAAAGAAUGUCAUAGAAAACAGUUUCCAAAGCAAGUUGCAUGUGGUUUGAAUUUGUCUUUGGAAGCCCUAAUUGCUUGGAGCACACUGUUAGCCAGUCGUGAUUCCAUCCACUUUUUUGGAUAGACAAUUAUGCAUCCAUCUGAUCUGGUCUAAACUAGUUUUUAAUAAAUAAUUGCCCAACGGUUUAGUCUGAGUGUUACAGCCCAGUCUUUGUUGUCAAUACUCUUUCCCCCGUCGUGGAUGAGCGCCAUAACAGCUUCUUAAUGUUUUGCAGUGGCUUUUGCACGGUUGUUUUUUUCCUUCUGAAGCUAGAGUAGCUAUGGAUAGAGCAGAUGCCGAUGCCACCAAUUUUUAUACUGGCCUUUCAGCAUCAAAAUCAAAAGGAUCAAGUGGGAACUUAAAGGAGGUUUAUUUGAAUGAAACACCCUCUAUGCAAGCCAAGAGACUCCAAUUAAUACUGCAAGCUCUGCUUAAAACAGGUAUUUAUCUCAACAAAAUAUUAGAACCUUUGCACCACUAGAGACAUUUUCUUAGAGCAUUUACUGGACUUUCUAUGAUUCCAGUAGAGACGGGUCGACGCUCUACCGCAAUCCAUCUGUCUAUUUAUUUUUUGUUUGGAAAUGUAACAAUUUAUAGCUGGCAAAGUAAUAGAGUUGUAUACUUGUAUUUAAUUUAUUAUUAUUAUUUUUUUAAUGACUCGGUAAUGUCAUUGUCCAUGGUGUUUUGUCAUUUCGAAAGUACUUACCCCUUUGACGCUAAGGCACAUUACAGCAGCCGAAAUUUUGAGCUUUCAGUUCUUGAUUUUAGCGUGAGGGGUAUCUUUGUCUUUUCAGUAGUCAACACACGGUCAACAAAACAGUCUACAAGCAAUCAGGGGGCAAAUCGGAUCUUUGAGUUUUCAGUAGUCAACAAAACAGUCUACAAGCAAUCGGGGGGGAAAUCGGAGAUAAGCUGAUACUUUCUAUCAUAGUGGAGAAACGCCAAACCUCAGGGGAGGAAACUGGAAAUUACCCCUUCGCGACCUGUGAACUUGGGUCAAAACUUUCAUCUUUAAACCUAAUAGGUAGAUACCAAUGGGCCUUUGGUCCAGUGGGAGAGCCCUUGCACUUAGAAUAAUGAGUGCAAGGGUUCGAGCCUCCAUAAAAGCAUUUAUGGGGCUUAUUUACAAUCCUUCCUCAAUUAUCACACAAUUGAGUGGAGCCAGUCUAUUCCUCACGAAAUGUGAGUAGAGUGGACAGCCCUCGAAUAUUUGAGAGGGUUUGAAGAAUUUGGGCAGCGCUUCAGAGGAGUACAUGCCACGAUGAAGGUCCCAAUUGUAGAAUCUGUGUGUAAAUAUUAAUUGUAAUACCUACAGUCCUGUAUAAACAGUAUUCAAAAAAAAAAAACCUAAUAGGUAGAUCGCGAUUCAAGCUUCAGUUAUAAGCAUUUCAUUGUGAUUGAUAUUAUUCUUUCUUGAUAUAUAUAUAUAUAUAUAUAUAUAUAUAUAGAUUCAGUUUGAAUAUGGUUCUUGAUGGUAUCAUGGAAAAUGCGAACGAAAAGUCAGCAUCUUUGAGUUUUGUCUCAUCAUAUCAAACUUGUUGGUCCACUAAUCAAUCAACAGGCACUUGUGAUCUUGAUAAUUUGAACUUAAGGAGGCAAAGCAGCAAUCCCAAAGAGACAUGGCUUGAAGCUGAGAUUGUUGUUGAGGGCAAAUCAGUGGCGGUUAAUCGCAGCAUAUUGUCUGAGCGCAGUCAAUUUUUUCGUCGGCUUUUUAAUUUGAGAAAUGAUGGGAAAGCCAGGUAUCUUUUGACUGAUUUGGUGCCUCAUGGGAAGGUUGGAUAUGAAGCUUUCAAGGAUACCUUGCAUUUUCUUUACACUGGAAUGAUUAAGGAAUCUCCUCCAGAAGUGUCCACGUGUGUUGAUGAUGCUUGUGCUCAUUUUGCUUGCCCUCCUGCUAUUAAUUAUGGUAUUGAGUUGAUGUAUGCUUCCGCUGCUUUUCAGAUGAAAGAACUCGUUGUUCUUUCGGAGGUAAUUGUGCUUCCCUGCUAUUUGUAUUGCUUAAAUUUAUGCUUCUUGGUAUAGUUUUAACAUAUAUGGGAUUGAAAUCAAUUUCAGUUGUGAAGCAACUUCGGUGGUUCCCAAUAUUAGGCAUUGUAGUAGAUCCAAAACUAGCUUAUUAAAAAGUGUAGAUAUCGUAGAGCCCAAAACUUCGUCUUAUCUUGCAAGAGUCUGUUGUUUUAUUUUGAAAGAGACAAAAGUGAUGAUGAUGGGCAGCGAGCUCUAGGAAUCAAUGCUUGCUGACACUGACUCCCAAGAAUCAAUGAGUCUGAAUUUGAUAAGUGCACCUAUCCUAUCACAAAAGCUUUUGCGUUGAGUUUCUAACCAAGGAAAAUUGUCACUUCUGUCUGUAGGCUUCAUAGAUUUGUUCAAGCCUUCAAGGAUGUCUAGCUGUUACUUACCGUCCAACAAUGGUGCUACAUUUCUAGUGAAUGAUAUGUUAUUCUACAUCUGUAUAUUGCAACUUUGACAAACUUCGCCUUUCCUUUGUUGAUUCACUCGUCUCACUUUUAUUAAAUUGCCCGAUUAUGAAAUGGUCUAUUGGAGACUAGCAAUGGAAGGUUUCUUCUGGAAAAAAUUUUACUUGACCACUAAUUUUCAUUUGGGUGGGUGUCAGUUCAUGCUCUGGCUUGACUGUUCUGUUAUUUAGGUUGUUUUAUCCGUAUUUUCUCACUCACUUGAUAGUUAGUUCUCUCAUGCUUUCAAGCUCAACAGUGAAUGCGGAUGCGAGAGAUUCUCUUUUUUCCCGUACAGGCUAUAACCUAGCAAAUCAUUAAUGCUGUAGAAUAACAUCUUGUGUAGGUGAGCUUAUGUCUCUGAACAUUGGUCCAUCGGCAUUUAGGUUCGAUAAGCAUGGCACUGAUUUUCCCCCUCAUUAUUAUUUUCCUACACAGAUUAUCCCUGUUAAGUAUUUGAAUUUUGAAUAUAUUAUUCUGAAUCAAAACUCUAUCUGUCUGUGUAGCAUUUUGUAUAUGCUUUAUGAUGUUUACCAAUAAUUACCCACUAUGGGGUAUUUGAAUUUUGAAUAUAUUAUUUUGAAUCAAAACUCUGUCUGUCCGUGUAGUUUAGGCUUCUGUACAUGGCUGGGAAGGCUCCUGUGGAAGAUGUAAUCCCAAUUCUCGUGGCUGCCGUCCAUUGCCAACUGAACAUGCUCCAUUCUUACUGCAUCCAGAGAAUUGCAGGGUCAAAUCUUGACAAUCUUUGUCUCGAGAAAGAGCUUCCUGAUGAAGUUUCAAGAGAAAUCAAAUCACUCCGUGUCAAAUCCAACCAGGAGUCUGAAGCUAAUAUAGCAGAAGUGGAUCCUAUGCAUGCAAAAAUAGUCAGAAGUAUCCAAAAGGCGCUGGACUCUGAUGACGUUGAACUGUUGAAGCUUCUUCUGGAUGUAUCUAAUGUCACUCUGGAUGAUGCUUAUGCUCUGCACUAUGCUGCUGCCUACUGCAGCCCUAAGGUUUUUAAGGCAGUGCUCAAUAUGGACUUGGCUGGUCUCAAUCUUAAGGAUGCAAGAGGUCGUACGGUGCUUCAUGUGGCUGCAAGGCGUAAUGAGCCAGAAGUGAUGGUGACUCUGCUGAGCAAGGGAGCAUGCGCGUCAGAAACUACAUCAGAUGGGCAAACAGCUGUAGCAAUCUGUCGGAGAAUGACAAGGCGAAAGGAUUAUAUUGAAGCUUCAAAGCAGGGGCAGGAAACUAACAAAGACCGGUUAUGCAUUGACGUCCUUGAGAGAGAGAUGAGAAGGAACUCCAUGUCUGAGAACUUGGCAAUGUCAUCGGAGGGGAUGGAUGAUGAUUUCCAAAGGAAGCUGGACUUUCUGGAAGAAAAAGGUGAUAUUUCUUUACGGGUAUUAGUUCAUCACCUUCUCAGAGUUUUUGCUAUGCACACUUCUUUGUACUGUUUGUUUGUCCCUUCAUAUGGAAAAUAGAGGUGAUAUUCCUUUACUGGUAUUAGUAAAUCAUCUUCUCAAGAGUUUGUGAGUCCCUUCAUUUUAGCAUCUCGAACACGCAUGGGCUCACUGCUUGGGGCACACUGUUGGCCAGUCAUGUGAUUUGAUCCCCUUUUUUGGAAUAGAGAAUUCUGAAUCCAUCUGAUCUAGGCUUGGUGGUUUGCACUGAACUGGUUUUUGAUAAAUAAUUGUACAAGACUUUGUCAUCAAAACCUUUUUUUUUUGUUUUUUGUUUUUUGUUUUCCAAAGGUAAAGAGGUACAAUACAAUUUAUGCCUAUCCUGGAUGAGUGCCAUAACAGCUUCUUAAUAUUUUGCAGUGGCUUUUGUACGGUUUUUUCCUUCUGAAGCUAGAGUAGCUAUGGAAAUAGCAGGUGCGGAUACCGCCACUGGCCUUUCAGCAUUAGGUCAGAAAGGACUAAGUGGGAACUUAAAGGAGAUUGAUUUGAAUGAAACGCCCUCUAUGCAAGCCAAGAGACGCCAAUUGAGACUGCUAACUCUGCUUAAAAUAGGUAUUUAUAUACUUUAUUAACUUUUGCACCUUUCUAUUUACUGAUUAUCUUUAUAAUUAACUAAUACAUGUAUCCUCGUUUCUCCUUCCAUUUCAUUAAAGGGAGGUUAUUGGGAAGUUAAAAUUGGUAGUUGUGGGAAAAGGGUAAUGGCAGUUAUAAAAUCUCUUUUAUAGCAAAUUCAAAUCAAGUUUCAAAUUUUAGGAGUACUUAAUUCAAUAAAAUAAGGAAUAAAUAAAGCUUUCAUUGAAACAAAACUAAGUAAAAAUAUUCCCAACGAAUGAGCACUUCUUAAUUUUCAUUUAUAAGAAAAAAGAGAGAGAGAGAGAGAGAGAGAGAAUUUAUAAUAAAAAAAUAUAACUACACAUUAGUUAAACCCUAAUGAGCUACGGGAAAGCUUCUCCACCGCCGCUGGCGAGCGACCGUUUCACCAAAAAGACAAAGUUUAGGGCUGAAGGGGCUGAUGGAGAUAACCCUAAGCCCUUAUCCUACCGUGAUAUUGCCAUGGAGGCGAAUGGGGGUUCUGCAAAUAUGGGGUUUGGCAUGAGGGACGAGUGGGAACUGGAAGAGGAGGAUGUCUGUUGCAAGGAGGACGAAUCUAUGCCCUAUAUUGCUUUCUCACAAAGGGUUCACGAUCGACUAGCAAAACCUUGGGCGAACUCAGUUGUCGUUAAAACUCUUGGACGAAACUUGGGAUAUAGAGUUAUCAGCGAGCGUUUGAAAAGACUCUGGAGUUCUACAAUGGGUUUCUCCAUCAUUGACUUAGCUAAUGAUUACUACUUGGUCCGUUUUCAGAACGAGGGAGAUGUGGAAUAUGCUCUUACUGAGGGGCCUUGGACCAUCAUGGGGCAUUAUCUUUUUGUUCAGCAAUGGACACCGGAGUUUGAUGCUACCACGAAUAGAGUUGAUCGGAUUGUGGCUUGGAUUCGUUUGUCUGGCAUGAAUAUUCACUUUUAUCAUAAAACUAUUAUUCGGCGGUUAGGGCAAAUUGUUGGCCCGGUCAUCAAGAUAGACUAUCUCACUGCCGCAGCCCAAAGGGGAAAAUUCGCUCGCAUUGCGGUUCAACUAGACCUUGACAAGCCGCUGGUUUCUCAAUUUAAUUUUGAGGGAAGAAUCCAAAAGGUGGAGUAUGAAAAUCUGCCCAUGAUUUGUUUUUGUUGUGGCAAGUUUGGCCAUUAUCAAGAUGCUUGCCCUGACGGUGGUACCACGCAUGUGGAAGCGGCACAGCCAACUUCUUGUCCUGUUGCUGCAAACCAGAAUAUUGUGGUGGAGGAGGGUUCUAACCAAAAUGAGUCUAAGUUUGGAUCGUGGAUGGUGGUAACCCGUAAACCUCGCCCUCGUAGAUCUACAGAAAGGGUUUCUUCUAAGGUCUGGGUUCAGGAUCAACAGGGGCUGAAUGUUCGUGUGUCGCGGUUUGAUGUUUUAGGCAAAGUGAUGGAUGACGAAAUUGUACCACAAAAUCAGGACAACACUUCGGUAGUCCAUCAGGAAAUCCUGGAGCCAACAGUAGAAAACCCCAACACAUUAGCCCCAAAAUCCAGGAGCAUGAAAAAGAAACAAGUGAGUCACUUUAUGCGGAAAUAUCCUACCAAGAAAAUUUCAGUUUCGGCAAACAACUCCAUAGCUGAAAAUAUCAACCCAAACAAUCAUAGCCGUGGCCAGACUUUCCAACCACAUAAGCCUACCCUAGCCAUGCAAGGCAUGCACGCACAUCUCAAGGUUCUUACAACAUCUGAACCAAGUGCCACCUCCGAUGUUCCCUGUAGCUCCAUGCAUGGCAUGCAUGCCCAUCCCAACACACUGGCUGCUUCUCCGAUGCCUGUUCAUGUAACCCUUAACCCGUUAAACCACAGUGCAGUUUCUUUCCCCAACCUUCAGCUACAAUUUCCUCAUCCUCGGUCUCAUCAUGAACACUUGCCUGAGGGAGUUUUGGCCCUAAAUUUGGAUAAAGAGCCUCCCGAUGAGGAUGGAAUGGAGAGCCCUAAGUUCCGGGGGGGAGAUUUUAGGGAGCUUGAUUCAGAUGUUGCGGGUAGGAUUUUGCCUUCAACUGAUGACGAUAAUUCAGGGGUUCCUGACACCUUCAUGGAUGAUGAAGCUGAAGCCAUAGGGCUGUCUUAGUUUCGCCCCCGUUCCCCUUUUAAAAUAUUUUUGUUAUGUGUAUUACAACUAUGUUUUGGAAUGCUCAAGGUGCUGCCUCACCGUCCUUUCGUCGUUCUUUCUCUGCUGUGGUUACCAAUUACAAGCCCAUAAUGGUGGUGUUAAUGGAGCCUCGCAUCAGUGGGUCCAAGGCGGAUAACUUCAUCAAGAAUAGUGGUUUUGAAAAGUCUCACCGAGUGGAAGCUGAGGGUUUUUCGGGCGGCAUUUGGAUCCUUUGGAAAAAUUUAUUUGAUGUUGAGAUAGUGGAGAAUCAUACUCAAUUCAUUCACCUCAAGAUUUCAAGGAACAAUAAUCUUCUAACUUGGAUGACGGCAAUCUACGCUAGUCCUAAUCCAAGCAUUAGGAGGCAUCUUUGGAAUGAGUUGGCAAAGAUUGCUUUGACUGUCCAGGGCCCUUGGUUGUUAGGUGGAGAUUUUAAUACUAUUCUGUAUAAUUCUGAGAAGAAAGGAGGAUCUCCGAUGGGCGCAGGAGUGUGCAGACUUUUUCAGUCUUGGUUUCAUAGUCACGGCAUGCAUGACCUUCCUUUUCAUGGGCCACGUUUUACUUGGUCUCGCGGCAAUCUUUUCAAACGUCUUGAUAGAGUGAUUUGCAAUGGAGAUUGGGCUCAGACUUAUGCUGCCUCUACUCUCCUUCACCUUCCAAAGUUUAUUUCUGAUCAUCGGCCUCUUCUAGUGAAAGAGAAUAUUAAUCCUCCGAGAAAUUUGAAUUCUAGGCCGUUUCGUUUUCAGGCGGCUUGGCUCACGAAUGAUGGUUUCAAGGAUUUUGUGGCCACUUCAUGGGAUCGGAACGUCACCUAUAUGGAGGCGGCAAUUUUUGGCGGAAACGACGAUUAAUGGCUCGGCUGGGGGGAAUUCAGCGGGCCUUGGAGAAGUAUAGUUCUCAAGGGCUCCUUGAGGGGGAAUUCAGCGGGCCUUGGAGAAGUAUAGUUCUCAAGGGCUCCUUGAGCUUGAAUUAAAGUUGAGAACCGAGCUUGAAGGCUCCUUUUAGGUGAUCGUAACACUUCCUACUACCAUCAGAAAACUUUAUCUAGAAGGCGUCGGAAUCAUAUUACAGCCAUUAAAAAUAAUGCGGGCACUUGGAUUUAUGAUAAAGAGGAAAUUAAGCAGCAUGUGAUUCAGUUCUAUUCAUCCCUGUAUUCUUGCGACUCGCCAAAUUUCCGGGCAUAUCCGCAUCCGAACUCUUUUCCUAUUAUUAAUGAUAAGGAGCUUCAAUAUCUUCAGGGGAAUGUGGAUGAUGAUGAAAUUAAAAGAACCAUCCUUGGCAUGCACCCUCUCAAGGCCCCGGGUCCGGAUGGCCUCCAUGCCAUUUUCUAUCAAACACAGUGGGAUACGGUUGGCCCAUCUCUUUGCUGCUUAGUGAAAGAUGUUUUUCAGCAUAAACGUUUGCCGGGGGAUCUAAAUGCUACAUUGCUUGCGCUUAUUCCAAAGAUUGAGAAUCCCUCUUCUUUGAAGUUGUACCGUCCCAUCUCUCUCUGCAAUGUAGCGUACAAGACCAUUACCAAGAUUAUUGCCAAUCGGCUCCAAUCGAUUUUACCUCAUCUGAUUGGCCCCCACCAAACUAGCUUUGUUCCCGGUCGUCACAUAACGGAAAAUAUUGUGAUCGCUCAAGAAGUCAUCCAUUCCAUGAGGAAAAAGACUGGUGCUAAAGGUUUUAUGGCGAUCAAGGUUGAUCUUGAGAAGGCGUAUGAUCGCCUUAGUUGGGAAUUUAUCAAUGAUACUUUGUGCGAAGCUCAAAUUCCCCCCGAUCUCAUUCAGACUAUUAUGGCUUGUAUUACCUCAGUCAAAAUGCGGGUUUUGUGGAAUGGGGAAGUGACGGAUGAAUUCGUUCCUUCCCGUGGAAUUCGCCAGGGUGAUCCGUUGUCUCCUUAUCUUUUUGUUCUCUGCAUCGAACGCUUGAGCCAUGGGAUUCAUAAUGCCGUGACUGCUGAUAAGUGGAAACCGAUUCAUUUGGCUCGCAAUGGUAUCCCUCUCUCUCAUCUUUUCUUUGCGGAUGAUCUCCUGUUGUUGGCUGAAGCUUCUAUUGAGCAAGCUCGUAUUCUAUCGGCAGUCUUGGAUGCUUAUUGUUACAGUUCAGAAGCUAAGGUUAAUGUUAACAAGACUAUGUUAUACUUUUCCAAGAAUGUAAGGGGUAUAGAUGUGGCCAGGAUCUCGGGUAUUCUUGGUUAUUCUGUCACGCAGGAUCUUGGGAAGUAUCUUGGGGUCCCUCUCCACCACUCACGGGUCACCAAUAAAAUGUUCCAGGAUAUUAUUGAUAAAGUUGAAAAGCGGCUCUCUGGCUGGAACGCUUCCCAUUUGUCUCUGGCUGGCCGCAUUACUCUGGCUCAGUCGGUCCUUCAGGCUAUUCCCAUUUACGUCAUGCAAACUGUUUCUAUUCCGGCUAGUAUCAGAGAGAAGAUUGAUAGGGCAUGCAGGCGCUUUAUUUGGAGUGGCUCUUCACCUAAUCAAAGCCUUAGCAUGAUCAGCUGGAAGGAUAUUUGUAAGCCAAAGUCAGCCGGGGGGUUGGGGUUCAAAUCCUUGGCUAUCAUGAACCGGGCCCUUCAUAUGAAACUUGCUUGGGGUCUCCUCUCUUCCCCAAACAGCUUCUGGGUUCAGGUCCUUGUCUCUAAAUAUGGGGUUGACAUUCGCAAUCCGCCUCUUUUGCUUCCAACGCGCUAUGGUUCUCACUUGUGGAAGUCUAUCGGAAAUGUGUGGAGUGAUGUUUUGGCAAGCCGACGCUGGUGCUUGGGAGAUGGUAAAUCCGUUUGGUUUUGGUGGGAUCUUUGGGUGACUAAGGAUGUCCCUCUUGCGGCUUAUACAACCAAUAAUCUUCCUAGCAAUAUCUUAAACGGUAAAGUGGCUGAUUUUGUUAAAGAAGAUGGUUCCUGGCACUGGGAGCGUUUUGAACAAUUUCUUCCUGCUAAUAUCAUUAUUCAGAUUGCGGCUUUUCAUCCCCCAUCCCCUGAUAAGGGUACGGAUUCUUUGUUUUGGACUCACUCCAAAUCUGGGCGUUUCACUACUCACUCGGCCUACUUGGCCUUUUCGAAUGAUACUCCCAUGAAUGAUGACAGGCUCUGGCGUACGGUUUGGAGUUGGAAGGGUCCCCAAAGUGUGAGGAUCUUCUUAUGGCAAGCAUUUCACGAUCGUCUGAAAACUAAGGCCGAAUUAGUUCGUCGUCACAUCCCGGUAUCAACCUCCUGCGACCGGUGUGGGGCUGCGACUGAGGAUGCUAUGCAUGUCUUGCGGGACUGUGCUUUGGUUAAGCGUUUCUGGCUCCUGAUUCUCCCAGAAAAUAAACGACAACAAUUCUUCAAUUGGCGGCUCCAUGAUUGGCUUCGUACGAACCUGGGAAUGGUCGGAGGGCUAGGGAGUGUUUCUAAUUGGGCCAUCUUCUUUGGUAUUGCUCUCUGGAGACUUUGGUUUUGGAGGAACCAAUUCAUCUUUAAUCAAGUUUCUAUGGAUCCGAAUACUGUUUUAAUGGAUGUUUUUAUGCGCACUGCGGAAAUGCAUAAGAUUCAUUCUCAUCCGCUUACCUCAGGACAUACAAGAGUGAUGAGAUGGAUUUCUUGGAAACCUCCAGAUUGGCCUUGGUGCUCUCUGAACACGGAUGGUGCCCAUAACAGGGAGGGAAUUUCUUCUGCUGGGGGAUUGAUUCGCGAUCACAUGGGUCGCUGGAUAAGUGGUUUUGGGAUGAUGAUAGGUUCCUGCUCUGUUACAGUAGCGGAGCUUUGGGGUUUGUAUCAAGGGUUGCAGCUAGCCUGGAAUUCUGGUAUAAGAAAGCUUAAAGUGGAAAUAGAUAGUCGUUGUGUGCUGCAGUUGGUGACCAAGCCAACAUUGGAAAUCAAUCACUAUACUCCUCUGAUUCGAGCUAUCAAGGAUUAUCUAAAGAUGGAUUGGCAAGUUUCUGUUUCCCAUAUUUACAGAGAAGCUAACUUCGCAGCGGAUUAUAUGGCGAGCCUAGCCUUCUCUAUCCCUCUUGGUCUUACUAUCUACCAUACUCCCCCGUUGGGUGCUAGACCCUUUUUGUUUAAGGAUGCUUAUGGGGUUGCCCAUUCUCGCUCGAUUGUUCUUUAGCUCUGCCUAGAGCCCCUUUUUACCAAAAAAAAAAAACUAAGUAAAUUCAUUUAAAGCAAAAAAGGAUGCGAGCAUUACUAUGGGUUCUUAUGUUUACCCGCAGUCAGACAUCUGGGACCUUGUUAUUUGGAGACGAGACUUGAUUGUGCCAUGUUUUCCAUAGCCAGAUAUCUUUUAGUUCAUUAUUUCGUAGACAUCUGUGGAUAAGAGAACCCUAAGGGUGCGUUUGGUACAUUGUAUUGUAUUAUGCUGUAUUGUAUUAUUUUAAUACUAAUGUAUUGUAUUAUGUUGUAUUGCAUUAGCACUGUAUUAUAAUAAUGCUAUACAAUGUUUGAUGUUACACUGUACUGUAUUAGAUUUUAAUUAUAUUAUAUUACAAUUGUUGUAACAUAAACACGACCAAAAUAAAUUGUACUAAAUAAUCUAAGUAAGAGUUCUGUAGUAUAUGUAAUAAUACUAUUUAUAUUAUUAUUAUUAAUAAUUCUAAAUUAAUAUUAUUUAAUUUUAUUCAUAUUUAAAUAUGUAUUAUUAGUUUAUUAAAUUAUUUAAAAAUAAUUAAUUUUUAUAUAUUAAUUAUUGUAACUUAAUUAAAUAAUGUAAUGCUAUAUUAUAUUUUUAUAUACUAUUUAAGUAUUUAUUAUUAAUUAUAUUCAAUUAUAAAUUUAUUAAUAAAUUAUAAUGUAAAAAUAAAAAAAAUAAAAAUUAAUAUGUAUAAUAUUAUAUUAAAUUAAAGUUUUAUUUUUAUUACUAUUAUUAUAAAGUAAAAAAAAAAAGGCAAGCUACUGACUUUUGAAACACAAAAGUCAGUAAUACAGCCUAAUCACGAGGGGGGGCGCGAGUUUUGAUAAUGCGGCAAAAGCUGCAUUGUAAUGCUGCUCAAUAUAAUCCAUUUGAUCACCAAACACAUGUAUAUUUUAACUAAUGCUGGGCCCACAAGAUAAUACAAUGCAAUACCACAUGCCAAACAUACCCUAAUGGUGCGUUUGGUACACUGUAUUGUAUUAUGUUGUAUUGCAUUAUUUUAAUAUUGGUAUAUUGUAUUAUGCUGUAUUGCGUUAGCAUUGUAUUAUAACAAUGUUGUACAAUGUUUGGUGUUAUACUGUAUUGUAUUAAUUUUUAAUUAAACUAUAUUUGAUGUUACAUUGUAUUGUAUUAAUUUUUAUGAUUAAUUAAAUUAAAUAAUUAAAAAUUAUAUUUAUUAAUACUUAGAAAAAUAAUAAAUAUAGAAAUCUUAAUUGUAGAAAUUUAACAAUUUUUUAGUAAAUAUUAAAAAUUAAUGAUUAAAUUUCUAAAAUUUGUAUUAUAAUUAUGAUAAAAUAAAUUUAUAAAAUUUAAUAUUAUAUGUAAAUAAUAAAUUUAGAUUAUAAUUAAUAUUAUAAUUGUUAAUAUAAAUUAAUAAAUUAUUAUUCAACAAUAUUAAAUUAUAUUUUAAUUUACAAUAUAUUAUUAUUUUUACAUUUUAAUAUAUUAAUAAAUUUAUAAUUUAAUAUAAAUAUUUAUAAAUAUUUAAAUUUGUAUAAAUUUAAAUAAUUUUAAUUUUAAAAUUAAUAUUAAUGUAAAUAAUAUUAUAAUAUUAAUAUAAAUAAUAUUAUAAUAUUAAUAUAUUAUUUACAUUAAUCAUUAAUAAAUAAAAUAAUAUUAUCAUAUAAUUUGUUUUUAUAUUUUAUUCAUUAUAUUAGUAUUUAAUAAUAAAAUAAUUUAUUUUUAUAAUAUUUUAAUAAAAUAAAUUUGCCUCAAUUGAGGCAUUAACUGUUGCCUCAAUUGAGGCAAAAAGCUUCCGCAUUACGCAAACCCAUCGGGUUUGCGUAAUGCGGCCCCAUGCCUCAUUAUGCUGCAUUAUAAUGCAGUAUAAUAAGGUCUCAAAUUUUACCAAACAUCUUUUUGGCAAUAAACUAAUGUGAAUAGUGGUAUAAUACCACACAAUCCCAUGCACCAAACACGCCCUAAGCGUAUUGAGAAUAAAUUUCGUGAUCCAAGACUCUUCAGUUCUUUCAUUUGUGGCUAAUUAGUUAUAAAAUUUGUGAAUUUCAUGCCCCAUGCCCCUUGCAAAAUGUAUUUUAUAUCCUUAAGAUGCCGGUUGUUGAACUGAAAUAAUAAAAAAUGGAAAACAGACUUAAUGCUGAUAGCAUUUCUUCAGAAAAACUUGGGAUGUUUAUAAGUUUCUUAGAGCAUUUGCUGAACUUUCUGUGAUCGCAGUCGAGACGGGUGAACGAUACUUCCCUCAUUGCUCAGAAUUGGUUGAUCGCUUUUUGCAUUGGCCCUAUGCUUCCACCCCAGAAAUGGACGAGGAGAAACUUAAAGUAUACGUGCAGGAGGCACUCCGCAAGGACGUGGCUUAUCACCGUCGUUCAGGGCUGCCAUCAUCCUGGUCGGCAUUUUACAAGUACAUGGCUGAGAGCAAUCAGUCGGCAUUUUACAAGUACCUGGCUGAGAGCAAUCGUUCAGGAAUGUCGACAUCCUCGGCAGCGGAAAACUAAAGGAGUUGAGUGAGCUCUGCUCGAUUGGUUUUUGUAGUUUCUUUUUUUUUUUUCCUCAAGUGAUCUGGCAUGUAUCAAUUAGUUUGUAAAGUUAUUGUAUUGUCUCAAGUCCGGUAAGAUGCGCGAACGUAUAGCAUGGAUCACAAACUCAUUUCAUAGAUUAUUUUUUUGUAUAAUUAUAUAAUUUAUAGGCUUUGCUUAAAAAAUUAAAAAAGAAAAAAAGAAUUGUAUUACAAUUGGUAUGAGGCAUGCUUGUGUGUGUCAUAUCAGUUGCUGAACAAACUUUGCCUUUUAGUUUUGUAGGCACUACCAUCUCAAAUUCUUUGUUAUCAUGAAUGAGUAUUUUUUUUCUUUUUUUUCUUUUUUAACAAAUCAUAAAUGAGAUUAAGAUAAUCUUUUUUUAAAAAAGAAAAAAAAUGGAGAUUUCUUUUAUUUUUCCUUAAAAAACUGAAGACAAAUUUAGAAGGAAGUGAGAGACGGAGAAUUAAAGCAAUUUUAUUCACAAAUGUAAUGUAUUUGGUGCAGCAAUACAAACUAAUAAAUUAUAAUUUAUGAGACUAGUUUACAGAAUCUUAUAUAUAAAAUUAUAUCCUCUGAAUAAAAAUCUUCUCACCUCUUUUGACUUCUCAUCUAGUUUACAGAAUCUUAUAUAUAUAACACAUUUUUAUAAAACAAAACAGAAAAAAAAAUUAUAUAUAAUUGUCACAAGGACUAUUUCAUUUGCACAUAGUACGCAAUUGGUCACUAAAGUUAUUUGAGGAGAAAAUUUACAUGAGAUGGGUACAUCAUAUUAUCAGUAUUUUAGUUUAAAUUUGAACAUACUAGAAUGGUCUCUCAUAAAUUUUUCUCCAAUUUGAGAGAUGGUGGGGGAGUGGGGUUAAAGUGCAUCUACAUAGGAUUAAUUAUAAUUAAAUUUAUUUUUUAAAACUAUUUUAACUAGAAGCAGUGGUAAUUCUUUUUAUUAUUGUUAUUCAAAUUAUAUCAAAAUCUCGUGACUCGUGAUCAAAUUAAGUAGUUCAUUAAACUUUUUUAGGUGACGUAUGGUAUGGAGUUUUUAUAAAUCUAUAAAUAUAGUAAAAUAUUUAAUUUUGCUUGUCGUAAACUUUUAAUUUGCAUGGGUUAAAAAAGAAAAAAAGAAAUUCACUUAUUACUUAAUUAACAAUUAUAGAAAGAAUAAAUAGAAAAUUAUAGUUGCGUGAGAAAACCCUCGUGAAAAGGGCUCCGGAUUUCCUUUCCAUGGCUUCGUGCGUUUCCUUUUGCCCUUUCGAGCACGAAUUCGAAUCCAGUACUUUAUAAUAAAGAUAUAAUAUUAAAAAAUAAGAAAAAGAAUCCCAAUUUUUACUGGUAUAUAACGCAUAGCCUGCAUUAUGAAACACUCUUUUACUAUUCUUUUCUUUUCUUUUCUCUUUUGCUGUAAUUUUUUAUGAAACACUCUGUUUCAGUACUGUUUCUGGUUUUGUUUCGGUUUAAUAUUAUUGGUUCGGUUCGGUUCUGCUCUGUUCUACGUCGUAUGUAUAUAUGUAUAUAUUUUUGGCCUCGAAUUGCUUUCAUCACCGGUUUUGUUAUUCAUUUAUCGUGAAUUUUAGAUGACUUGUUCGGCCAUGUUACAUUCAGCUACCAUCUUCAUGGUGGGUUUGUAAGAUAGUCUCUGACUAACACAUGGCAUUGGUUAUGAAUGAUGGUUUUGUGAGAUACAUCAUACAGACGUUAACUCGUGUUAAUUUGUACUUACAUCAUUCAAAAGAUUAGUGUUUUUCUCUCUUUUUUUUAAAAAAAAAAAAAAUUGAAAUGUCCCUUUUCGCAUUUUAUAGAUGAAAGGAAGAAACAUAAUAUCGCAGAACUAGAAUAAAGGAGCCUAUUGUGGUACCUAUUGUCCGAGGAACCUUCUGUAUAUUCGGUAGGAACUACCAUGGGAAGUCAAAUCUUACCAGAGCCAGGCGGAGUCGUUGCUGAAGGAAUAUAUAUUAGCAGAUCCAUUUGUCCCGUACACUUCAAUUGUUGGUAGCAUUUUUGCUUGCACGAUGGUAUGUUUGUCAUCGUUACUGCGCGGUGGUAUUUACUAGAAAAUAUUUUGAAUGCAUAGUUUUUAUACCCUCUGUUUUCCAUAAGAAUGUGUUCCUUUUCAGGUCUAUGAUCUUGCCCAAUUGAUUAGUGUGCUGUUCACUUUAAAUCUGAUUCCAGUUUCUCCAACAUACAGCGGGUCGAGUGGAGUAACAGGUGAUUGAAAAUUUUCAUUUAGUCCAAUUGUCAUUUCUUUCUCAAUCGGUAAAGUUUAAUCAUUUUCCUUAAAUCGAUAACUUAUGCAGGUCCAUAUCAACUGUCCAUGACAUUUUUAUUACAACGAUGUCUUUGUACUUUGUGUUUUGGUCGGAUCUCAGAGUUUGUGCAUAGCACACUUGUUUCUACUGUUUGUUUGUCCCUUCAUAGACAUUUCGAUAAACUGUUAUUUUUGUUCAUUGGAAGUGAAUAUUUUCAGCAACUAGAACUCCAAAGCAUCUGGAAUGAUCCAUUUUAUCAUUCUCAAUACCUAUAAAAGAAUGUCAUAGAAAACAGUUUCCAAAGCAAGUGGCAUGUGUUUGGAAUUUGUCUUUGCAAGCCACUAAUUNNNNNNNNNNNNNNNNNNNNNNNNNNNNNNNNNNNNNNNNNNNNNNNNNNNNNNNNNNNNNNNNNNNNNNNNNNNNNNNNNNNNNNNNNNNNNNNNNNNNCGGGUUUUUUUUUUCUUUUAAAACAAGGGGAGUUUGGGAACCCCCCCCUUUUUUUUUUUUAAUUUUUUCCCCCCCCCCCCCCCCCCCCCCACCACACCAAAAAAAAAAAAAAAAGAAUUGAGAUACAAAAUAAUUUAUUCCUAUCAUGUAUGAGUGCCAUAAAAGCUUCUUAAUGUUUUGCAGUGUUUUUUGCGCGGUGGCUGUUUCCUUCUGAAUCUAGAAUAGCUAUGGACAUAGCAGAUGCAGAUGCCACCAAUAUUUGCACUGGCCUUUCAGCAUCAAAAUCAAAAGGAUCAAGUGGGAACUUAAUGGAGGUUGAUUUGAAUGAAACACCCUCUAUGCAAGCCAAGAGACUCCAAUUAAGACUGCAUGCUUUGCUUAAAACAGGUAUUUAUAUACCUUAUUAGUUUUUGUAUGUUUAUAAUUACUGAUUUUUGCAUCAAAAGAGAGAGGUUAAUUUUUAGUACAUUUACUGAACUUUCUAUGAUUGCCGUGGAGACAGGUCGACGCUACUUCCCUCGUUGCUCAGAAAUGGUUGAUAAAUUUUAGGAUUGUGAUUGGUCCGAUGCUUCCCUCCUAGAAAAAGGGUACUCCUAAAGAGCAGAGACUCAAAAGGGCACGCUUCAUGGAACUUAAAGAAGACGUGAAGAAGGCAUUUUACAAGGACAUGGCUGAGAAAAAAUGGCUCAGGUUUGUAGUCAUCCUCGUUUCUCCGAAGGAAGGAGUAAAGUGUAAGGGUAGGAAAAGGUGAUGCUUAGCUGCUUGUCUUUGUUAUUCAUUUAUAGGCAACUAAAAGAGAUUUAGUGAGUUGGAUUGUUACUUGUAGAGAGAUACUCUUCGAGCCUAUGUUAUGGCUUAUGUUGUAUAAUAGCAGAGGAACUUCAAGCUUGCGUAGUUGUAUUUUCUCUGGUAUUUGGCAUGUAAUGCACUAAAUGACAAAGAAUUUUCUAAUUUUAGAGGGAAAAGUUAUGUCAGUUAAUUAUUUAUUUAUUUUGUCUGUUUAAUUCAGUUUAUAAUAUAGCUUUUUUUUUCUUUCUAAAAAAAAAAAAUUCUCCAUAUCUUCAUCUGCAAUUUAAGUCAUUCGUUACUUGUUUCAGGAUGGGGAGAGAAAAAAAAAAGAAAAAAAGAAAAGAAGCAUUUGUAAGUAUAUUUUACAGUACUGAUUUUCCUACAUAAAUUGGUUAAGGUGACAUUAAUGUUCUUUUAGGUAGACGGAUGUGCAGAUUUUUCGUCGAAAUUGAAAUUAGAAAUGAAUGGAUAUGCAGAAUUUUUUAAUAGAAUUUUUAUACAAAAAUUUGUAGCUCAUUACUCUCUAAAAGGAAAAAAUAAAUUUUUGAUUGUAAAUAUUAAAUUUUAAAUUUAUAAUAUAAUAACUUUGUGAGUUAAGGUGCACAAUACCCAUAUAUUAAUAAUUAAGAAAAGAAAAAAAAUUAAAAUUUGUAAAUUACCAAUUUUUUCUUGAAAUUUGAUAUUCUAUAUUAACGUAGGUGUUGCAUGGACUGGGUUAGUACAAUUGAAAGAAACUAACUAAAGUAAAACAAAAUAUCAUUAAAAAUAUGGCAAGCUUCUCAUAUUUUUUAAGUGAAAAAGAGACGAAAACUAAAAUUAAUUAUUUUUAUACCCAAAUUCUAGUGCUUGAAGGCCGCUGGAAUUGACCAUUGCAGUUUUGUCAUCCUCAUUAUUCACCGGCCAUCGUGGCCUUCCUCCAUUAAAAAAAUAAAUGACCAUUUUUUUGGACCACGACAUAUUAAAAAUAGUAUUGAUUAGUACUAAUAAAUCUCUUUUUUGAUUAUUUUGCAGUGUGAUAGUCGAGUGAGGGCAGUGCCCAUCGUAGCACUUGAACAUGUGGUAAAUUUCUGCCAGUCUUUGUAAAAUAAUUUUUAAAUUAUGUAUUAACCAGAUAGCUCAAUGAAGAUUAUCGCUCACUAAAUCAUUACUUUAUUUUGUAUAUAUUUAUGGGAAUUGUUGAAAAGAAAAAUGUAAAGUGAGAUUAAUGAACGUUUAUGAAUGUGGAAAUUAACACAACCAGGAUUUAUGAUGAAAUAAUUUUAAGUCAAAUGAGCAUAAAUUUGUAUAAAUAUUUUUUGAAUUGUCAUAUAUAUACAAGUUUGUCACUAAUAGUAAACUUAAUUAUGAAUAUUUUAAUAAUUCAAAAUUUUAUUUAACCAUCGGUGUUUAUAGUGUUUUUCAUAAUACAAAAUUGUAAACAGUCUCAUCCUGAAUAGUAUAAUGCCAAACUUUUUAAAAAAUUUAUUUUAUUAUAAUCGUCUUAGUCAGUUAUAUUUAUUUCCAAAUUGAAGAUAAAAAUAAUACUUCAUAUAUCAUACAUUACUUCAUACAUUACUUAAAAGUUUUUUUUUCAAUCAAAUUAUGAGCAAGUGAAAGGAUGCAAUAAAUUACGACUAAAAUUGUAAAAUUUACCAAUGGCUAUAUACAAAGUCUGAUUCUUAUGAGCUUAAAAGAUGGGCUUUGAAUGAUGUAUGGUUCUCAAAACUCUACUUUUAUUAAUAUGAUUGCCCUGCUUCCUUCAUGACGGGUAAUUUUUAGUUUCUUCCCCUAAAGUUUGGCGUAUCUCCAUUUUAAUAGGAAGUAUUAGCGUAUCUCCCACUUUUCUCCCCUGCCGUUAGGGAUGGCAAUUGUACCCGCAAACCCGCAAACCCGCCCAAACCCACCCGCCAAAACCCGCCCGUUGCGGGUAAUUUUAUCCGUUGCGGGCGGGUUUAGUAUUAUAAAUUAAAACCCGCAUAUGGAUGCGGGUGGGUUUGGUAUUAACCUUAUACCCGGUGGAUACCCGCAUGGAUAUCCACCAAACCCGCAAUAAUUUUUUUCAAAUAUUUUUAAUUUAAUUUAAAUAUAAAAAUAUAUAAAGAAAAUAAUGUAAUUAAUCAAAUUACCAAAUAGUAAAAGGCUCAAAGUUGUGUAUGUGUGUAUAUGGCUCAUCUCUUAUUCUAAAGUCAUAACCUAAAGAAAACUAAAGGCAUUUCCCUUCGAAUUAAUAUUUGAAAAUAUUAAUCUUAAUUAUUAUUUUAGGCAUUGUGUUAGAUGGGUGCUUAUGGUGGUGAAUAAAAUAAAUAUAUUCUCUUUGAUCUUGUUUUAAAUGAUAAUAUGAAAUGUAAUUAUUAUUUUUAGAUAUUAGUUUGUGUUUUUUAAAUAGAUUUGUAUAAUUUAUACUUAAAUUUGAGAAUUUGUGUUGAAUUGAUGUGGAAAUUUUAAUUUUUCAUUUACAUUGUUUAAAUAUAAAAUUGAAUAUGUUAUAUGGAACUUGAGGUUAUUAUUAUAAAUUUAUAUAUUAAAUAUUUGUGAUUUUAAAUACGGAAACCCGCAAAAAAUCCGCCGGAUACCAUUGCGGGUUUGGUAAUUGUUAAAACCCGCUGCGGGUGGGUUUUUUUAAAAAAAUUAAAACCCACUGCGGGUUGCGGGUGGGUUUGGUAAUUUAAAUUUUGUGCGGGUUUGGGUUUGGUAAUGGCAAACCCGCUGCGGGCGGUGCCCAUUGCUAUCCCUACCUGCCGUUUGUAUACCGUUUCAUAUUGUUAAUGGACGAAGCUACAAGUCUUCUCUUUCAUCAAAUCGAUCCAUAACAAAUACGAGUCUGCUUCACCUAACCAAAACACACACAUACUCCAUCUCUAAAUGCUUUGAAGAUAAACAAAUCAACCGUAAUCCUGCAACUUUAGCUCAGAGAAUCGGAUAAGAAAAGAACAGGUGAUGAAUCAAGGGUAAUGGCGCCGAGUGAGUGUCGCCUGCGGUCGGCGUUAGAGGCGACUGUCACUCAAUCGCGUACAAGGUUAGUCUUUGAAAAAACUCUUUGCACGUUAGAAAUCAGUGAUUGGGCAUUAUUUUUUUUAUUUAAAAAUGAAAAUGGGUUUAUUAGUUUGUCGAAGAAUCUGCUCUGUUGCCGGUGUUGUUUGUUGAUUAAAAUGAAAAUGGGUUUGUUGAUGUGUUGAAGAAGUUGCUCUACUGCUGGUGUUUUUUUAUUAAUUAAAAUGAAAAUGGGUUUGUUAAUUUAUUGAAUUGUGACUUUAUUUAUCCAAUUGAUGAGCUUAUGAGCUAAUAGUAUUGUUUGAUCAAGCUUGUGUUCUUAAUAGUGGAGUUGAUAUUCUUAAAAAUGAAUUUAUGAUUAUGAGAAUAUGAAAAUUGAAUGGCAUCGUAGAGGUCUGGAUUAAUCACCAUCGAAUAUGUUUCUAAAUAAAGGAAUAAGCAGCAAUCUGAUUUGAAACUUAAGACUUUAGGGAUAUGUAUGUGCAACUGAAUGAAUCAUCAGUUGCUAUCUUGUAAGUCAAUACUAGCAUAUUACUUAAUGGCAAGUGAAGCUAUUUUAUGUGUAUUGCUGCCUAUCAAAAUGUUUAUGUUUGAAGUUAUCUCCUUUUAGGAAAUUGAAUGCUUCUGUGAGUUCUCUGGUAAGGGCUAUACAACUAGCUCUAAUAGAUUCCUUCAUGUGCAUUAAUUAGCUUAGUAGUUUAUUGACCUAUAUCCAAUGUCUAUUCUCCUUUUCUGUAGCCGUCUAGUUUUAUGAGUGUGUGAAGUGAACUUUUGUUUUAUGUUUCAGGACUUGGGAUUAGAGUGUAUAACAUUCAAUAUCUUUAUAUCAAAGAACUGAUAUAUGUCAAUGUAGUGCGAUCUGGUCUUUAUUAGCUUCUUGAUUUGCCAGGAUGUUUGACAACCAUCUUUGACUAUGAUUGCCAACAUAUAAGCUGCUACAUAGUGUCUCAGGAAUCACAGCAAAUUAUUAUCAUAAUAUGGUGAUUUUGAAUCCAAAACUUGGUAGUGUCAAGAAAAUAGACCCAUGUUUAUUUAUCUUCAUGUUUUGUAUGCGCCUGCAAUAGACUAUUAUAAGUUACUUUUAGUUUUAUCAAGUUUUUUUUUCCUUAAAUUUCAUCGAGUCUUGGAGUCUUUGUAAUAUAGAGUCUAAGUGAAGAAUACUUGGGUGAAAUCUUGUAUUCUCUCUUCCAGUAAUAUAAUCAUCCUUUGUGUUUUUAUCUUUUUAUUUUGGUAUCAGAGCAUACUUUAUUAUAGAAGGACUUGGACUCUAUAUUACAAAGACUCAGUGGUUUCUUUUAACUGAGUUAAUAGUGUUGUUAGGUUAAACUAAGUUUGGCUUCAUAAGAUUCAUAGUAGAGUGUAGAACUGGGUACAAUUUUGGGUUAAGACAAGUCAAAAGUCUUCUCAAGUAAUUGUUCUGCUUACUGAUUUGGUAAUUGCAACAUUGCUAAAUAGUUCAAUUUGUCCUUUUUUUUUGUUGAAUUUAUUGUAUGUCAUAUUACUUCAUUUAAUUAUUUUCUCAGAUCUUGUAGGUGAAAAUUUCAGCUUCAAAGGCCAAGCUAAUCAUCCAGCAAUUCAGUGAAACCAAGACACAGUGGCUCAUAAAUUGUUGUUGGUGAUCGAGCCAUUCGGGUGCUUGCCAGUCCUAGAUGAGAGAACUUUCAACGCGGCGCAUAAAUUGUUGUUGAUCUGUUUUAUAUAUUUUGACCUUUGUGAUUUGUGAAUACAUGGUUUGAUUCCAGUGUUUACAACUNNNNNNNNNNNNNNNNNNNNNNNNNNNNNNNNNNNNNNNNNNNNNNNNNNNNNNNNNNNNNNNNNNNNNNNNNNNNNNNNNNNNNNNNNNNNNNNNNNNNNNNNNNNNNNNNNNNNNNNNNNNNNNNNNNNNNNNNNNNNNNNNNNNNNNNNNNNNNNNNNNNNNNNNNNNNNNNNNNNNNNNNNNNNNNNNNNNNNNNNNNNNNNNNNNNNNNNNNNNNNNNNNNNNNNNNNNNNNNNNNNNNNNNNNNNNNNNNNNNNNNNNNNNNNNNNNNNNNNNNNNNNNNNNNNNNNNNNNNNNNNNNNNNNNNNNNNNNNNNNNNNNNNNNNNNNNNNNNNNNNNNNNNNNNNNNNNNNNNNNNNNNNNNNNNNNNNNNNNNNNNNNNNNNNNNNNNNNNNNNNNNNNNNNNNNNNNNNNNNNNNNNNNNNNNNNNNNNNNNNNNNNNNNNNNNNNNNNNNNNNNNNNNNNNNNNNNNNNNNNNNNNNNNNNNNNNNNNNNNNNNNNNNNNNNNNNNNNNNNNNNNNNNNNNNNNNNNNNNNNNNNNNNNNNNNNNNNNNNNNNNNNNNNNNNNNNNNNNNNNNNNNNNNNNNNNNNNNNNNNNNNNNNNNNNNNNNNNNNNNNNNNNNNNNNNNNNNNNNNNNNNNNNNNNNNNNNNNNNNNNNNNNNNNNNNNNNNNNNNNNNNNNNNNNNNNNNNNNNNNNNNNNNNNNNNNNNNNNNNNNNNNNNNNNNNNNNNNNNNNNNNNNNNNNNNNNNNNNNNNNNNNNNNNNNNNNNNNNNNNNNNNNNNNNNNNNNNNNNNNNNNNNNNNNNNNNNNNNNNNNNNNNNNNNNNNNNNNNNNNNNNNNNNNNNNNNNNNNNNNNNNNNNNNNNNNNNNNNNNNNNNNNNNNNNNNNNNNNNNNNNNNNNNNNNNNNNNNNNNNNNNNNNNNNNNNNNNNNNNNNNNNNNNNNNNNNNNNNNNNNNNNNNNNNNNNNNNNNNNNNNNNNNNNNNNNNNNNNNNNNNNNNNNNNNNNNNNNNNNNNNNNNNNNNNNNNNNNNNNNNNNNNNNNNNNNNNNNNNNNNNNNNNNNNNNNNNNNNNNNNNNNNNNNNNNNNNNNNNNNNNNNNNNNNNNNNNNNNNNNNNNNNNNNNNNNNNNNNNNNNNNNNNNNNNNNNNNNNNNNNNNNNNNNNNNNNNNNNNNNNNNNNNNNNNNNNNNNNNNNNNNNNNNNNNNNNNNNNNNNNNNNNNNNNNNNNNNNNNNNNNNNNNNNNNNNNNNNNNNNNNNNNNNNNNNNNNNNNNNNNNNNNNNNNNNNNNNNNNNNNNNNNNNNNNNNNNNNNNNNNNNNNNNNNNNNNNNNNNNNNNNNNNNNNNNNNNNNNNNNNNNNNNNNNNNNNNNNNNNNNNNNNNNNNNNNNNNNNNNNNNNNNNNNNNNNNNNNNNNNNNNNNNNNNNNNNNNNNNNNNNNNNNNNNNNNNNNNNNNNNNNNNNNNNNNNNNNNNNNNNNNNNNNNNNNNNNNNNNNNNNNNNNNNNNNNNNNNNNNNNNNNNNNNNNNNNNNNNNNNNNNNNNNNNNNNNNNNNNNNNNNNNNNNNNNNNNNNNNNNNNNNNNNNNNNNNNNNNNNNNNNNNNNNNNNNNNNNNNNNNNNNNNNNNNNNNNNNNNNNNNNNNNNNNNNNNNNNNNNNNNNNNNNNNNNNNNNNNNNNNNNNNNNNNNNNNNNNNNNNNNNNNNNNNNNNNNNNNNNNNNNNNNNNNNNNNNNNNNNNNNNNNNNNNNNNNNNNNNNNNNNNNNNNNNNNNNNNNNNNNNNNNNNNNNNNNNNNNNNNNNNNNNNNNNNNNNNNNNNNNNNNNNNNNNNNNNNNNNNNNNNNNNNNNNNNNNNNNNNNNNNNNNNNNNNNNNNNNNNNNNNNNNNNNNNNNNNNNNNNNNNNNNNNNNNNNNNNNNNNNNNNNNNNNNNNNNNNNNNNNNNNNNNNNNNNNNNNNNNNNNNNNNNNNNNNNNNNNNNNNNNNNNNNNNNNNNNNNNNNNNNNNNNNNNNNNNNNNNNNNNNNNNNNNNNNNNNNNNNNNNNNNNNNNNNNNNNNNNNNNNNNNNNNNNNNNNNNNNNNNNNNNNNNNNNNNNNNNNNNNNNNNNNNNNNNNNNNNNNNNNNNNNNNNNNNNNNNNNNNNNNNNNNNNNNNNNNNNNNNNNNNNNNNNNNNNNNNNNNNNNNNNNNNNNNNNNNNNNNNNNNNNNNNNNNNNNNNNNNNNNNNNNNNNNNNNNNNNNNNNNNNNNNNNNNNNNNNNNNNNNNNNNNNNNNNNNNNNNNNNNNNNNNNNNNNNNNNNNNNNNNNNNNNNNNNNNNNNNNNNNNNNNNNNNNNNNNNNNNNNNNNNNNNNNNNNNNNNNNNNNNNNNNNNNNNNNNNNNNNNNNNNNNNNNNNNNNNNNNNNNNNNNNNNNNNNNNNNNNNNNNNNNNNNNNNNNNNNNNNNNNNNNNNNNNNNNNNNNNNNNNNNNNNNNNNNNNNNNNNNNNNNNNNNNNNNNNNNNNNNNNNNNNNNNNNNNNNNNNNNNNNNNNNNNNNNNNNNNNNNNNNNNNNNNNNNNNNNNNNNNNNNNNNNNNNNNNNNNNNNNNNNNNNNNNNNNNNNNUACCCCCCCCCCGGGCGGGGGGUGGGGGGUUUGGAGAUACGCUGAUACUUUCUAUCAUACUGGAGAUACACCUAACCUCAGGGGAAGAAAACUACACCUUUACGACGGGUGAACUUGGGUCAAACUUUCAUAUUUUAAUCAAGUAGGUCGAUCAUGAUUCAAGCUUCAGUCAUAAGCCUUUCGUUAUGAUUGAUAUUAUUCUUUCUUGAUAGUAUCAUGGAAAAUGCAAACGAAAAGGCAGCAUCUUUGAGUUUUGUCUCAUCAUAUCCGACUUGUUGGUCUACUAAUCAAUCGACAGGCCCUUUUGAUCUUGAUAAUUUGAACUUAAGGAGGCAAAGCAGCAAUCCCGAAGAGCCAUUGCUUGAUGCUGAGAUCGUUGUUGACGGCAAAUCAGUGGCAGUUAAUCGCAGCAUAUUGUCUGCACGCAGUCGUUUUUUUCAUUGGCUUUUUCAUUUGAGCAGUGAUGGUUCUGUGAGUGAGGGGAAACCCAAGUAUCUUAUGACUGAUUUGGUGCCUUAUAGGAAGGUUGGAUAUGAAGCUUUUAAUGAUAUCUUGCAUUAUCUUUACACUGGAAUGCGUAAGGCGCCUCCUUCAGAAGUGUUCACGUGUGUUGAUGAUACUUGUGUUCAUCUUGUUUGCCCUCCUGCUAUUAAUUAUGUUAUUGAGUCGAUAUAUGCUUCUGCUGCUUUUAAGAUGACAGAGGUCGUUUCGGUUUAUGAGGUAGUUGCGCUUCCCCGCUACUUGUAUUGCUUAAAUUUAUGCUUAUUGGUAUAGUUUUAACAUAUGUGGGAUUGAAAUCAAUUUCAGUUGUGACUUGCAAAGAGCCAAAGAAUCUGUUGUUUUAUUUUGAAAGAGACAAAGAUGAUGAUGAUGGGCAGUGAACUCUAGGAAUCAAUGCUUGCUGACACUGACACCCAAGAAUGAUAAAAACUAACCAAAAAGGUAUAUAGAUUACAUGAGUCUGAAUUUGAUAAGUGCACCUAUCCUAUCACAAAAAGCUUUUGCGUUGAGUUUCGAACCAAGGAAAAUUGUCACUUCUGUCUGUAGGCUUCAUAGAUUUGUUCAAGCCUUCAAGGAUGUCUAGCUGUUACUUAGGGUCCAACAAUGGUGCUACAUUUCUAGUGGAUGAUAUGUUAUCUACAUCUGUAUAUUGCAACUUUGACAAACUUCGCCUUUCUUUUGUUGAUACACUCGUCUCACUUUUAUUAAAUUGCCUGAUUAUGAAAUGGUCUAUUGGAGACUAGCAUUGGAAGGUUUCUUCUGGAGAAAAUUUUACUUGCCACCAAUUUUCAUUUUGGUCGGUGUCAGUUCAUGCGCUGGCUUGAUUGUGCUGUUAUUUAGGUUGUUUUAUCCAUAUUUUCUCACUAUCUUGAUAGUUAGUUCUCUCAUACUUCCAAUCUCAGCAGUGAAUGCGAAAGAUUCUCUUUUUCCCGUCCAGGUUAUAACCUAGCAAAUCAAUAAUGCUGUAGAAUAACAUCUUGUGUAGGUGAGCUUAUGUCUCUGAACAUUGGUCCACCGGCAUUUAGGUUCGAUAAGCAUGGCAUUGAUUUUCCCCCUCAUUGUUAUUUUCCUGCACAGAUUACCCCCUUUAAGUAUUUGAAUUUUGAAUACAUUAUUCUGAAUCAAAACUCUAUACGUCCGUGUAGCAUUUUAUAUAUGCUUUAUGAUAUUUACCAAUAAUUACCCACUGCGAGGUAUUUGAAUUUUGAAUAUAUUAUUCUGAAUCAAAACUCUAUCUGUCCGUGUAGGAUUGGCUUCUGAAGGUGGUUCGGGAGGCUCUUGUGGAAGAUGUAAUACCAAUUCUCGUAGCUGCCUUGCAGUGCCGACUGUACCCGCUCUGUUCUUUCUGCAUCCAGAGAAUUGCAAGGUCAAAUAUUGACAAUGUUUGUCUCGAGAAAGAGCUUCCUGAUGAAGUUUCAAGUCAAAUCAAAUCACUCCGGGUCAAAUCUAACCAGGAGUCUGAAGCUAACAUAAAAGAAGUGGAUCCUAUGCAUGAAAAGAGAGUCAGAAGAAUCCACAAGGCGUUGGACUCUGAUGAUUUUGAACUGCUGAAUCUUCUUCUGAAUGAAUAUAAAGUCACUUUAGAUGAUGCUUACGCUCUGCACUAUGCUGCUGCCUACUGCAACCCUAAGGUUUUUAAGGAAGUGCACAAUAUGGGCUUGGCUGAUAUCAAUCUUAAGGAUGCAAGAGGACGUACGGUGCUUCAUGUGGCUGCAAGGCGUAAGGAGCCAGAAGUGAUAGUGGUUCUGCUGAGCAAGGGAGCAUGCUCAUCAGAAACUACACCAGAUGGGCAAACAGCUGUAGCAAUCUGUCGGAGAAUGACAAGGCGAAAGGAUUAUAUUGAAGCUACAAAGCAGGGGCAGGAAACUAACAAAGACUGGUUAUGCAUUGAUGUCCUUGAGAGAGAUAUGACAACGAACUCCACGUCUGGGAACUUGGCAAUGUCAUCAGAGGUGAUAGAUGAUGUUUUCCAAAUGAAUCUGGACUAUCUGGAAAAUAGAGGUGAUAUUUCUUUACUGGUAUUAGUUCAUCACCUUCUCAGAGUUUGUGCAUAGCACACUUCUUUUUACUAUUCGAUUGUCCCUUCAUCUUAGCAUCUCAAACACAAAUGGGCUCAGUGCUUGGAGCACACUGUUGGCCAGUCAUGUGAUUUGAUCCCUUUUUUGGAAUAGACAAUUCUGAAUACUGGUCUAGGCUUGGCGGUUUGCACUGAACUGGUUUUUGAUGAGUAAUUGCACAAGACUUUGUCAUCAAAACGUUUUUUUUUGGUUUUUUUUCCCCAAAAGUAAUGAGGUACAAAAAAUUUUUUGCCUAUCCUGGAUGAGUGCCGCAACAGCUUCUUAAUAUUUUGCAGUGGCUUGUGUACGGUUGUUUCCUUCUGAAGCUAGAGUAGCUAUGGAAAUGGCAGGUGCAGAUAUCGCCAUUGGCCUUUCAGCAUUAGGUCGGAAAGGACUAAGUGGGAACUUAAAGGAGGUUGAUUUGAAUGAAACGCCCUCUAAGCAAGCCAAAAGAUGCCAAUUGAGACUGCUCACUCUGCUUAAAACAGGUAUUUACAUACUUUAUUAACUUUUGCGCCUUUCUAUUUACUGAUUAUCUUUAUAAUUAAAUAAUACAUGUAUCCAGGUUUCUCCUUCCAUUUCAUUAGAAGUAAAUUGGAAUCUCUUUAUAGUGCUCUGUUAGGUGUAAUCAGACGUAUCAAAAGAGACAGGGUAAUUGUUAGUACAUUGAUAUCUCAACAAAAUGGUAAAACCUUNNNNNNNNNNNNNNNNNNNNNNNNNNNNNNNNNNNNNNNNNNNNNNNNNNNNNNNNNNNNNNNNNNNNNNNNNNNNNNNNNNNNNNNNNNNNNNNNNNNNAACACUAAAUCUCACUAGAUCAACUCUUUACCUCUGGACUGAAGGUGUGACACCCAAACCCAAUUAGGGCUUAGAACACAUAUCGAAUCUGAGCGAAACUAAAUGCUUGUAAAUCCAAAUCUCCAAAAUAUCAAAAGGUCAUCUACUUUCUCUUUUCAUAGAUUUCACAAAAUUUUGAAAAACUGAUUCUCAAUCAUAAACUAUGCCCAGCUAAUUAAUCAACAUAUCACUAUACAACAAUACUUCCUCAUAAGCAAAUAAAUCUUACAAUCCUUCUUCCAUGAUUUAAAAAAAAAAAAGAAAUAGUUCUAGAAGUCUUCUAAAUACAAACAUAAACAGAAUUCAACUGCUAAAACUGUGCCAAAAUACUAGCUUCAAUCAGUAAUACACACGACUAAUUAUUAAAUCAGUAAUAUACACGACUAAUUAUUAAAAACAUCUAGCUAGAAACCUUAUGAAAGCUCAAUCCUUCCGAAGCAUUCUUCGAAUUAAUAAUUGCUACCAUCUGUGAAAAAUAAUUGACAAGGGGUCAGCUGUUAACUCAAUCAGUAGAAACACUAAUAAUGAACAAAAAGAAUUCUUUGUGCAAUAUUUUCAAAAAAUUCAUUUAACCUUUCAAAUGAAACAGAGUAAUUUUUCAAACACAGUCAGGACUUAUAUAAAAUAUAAACAUUUCCGACAGAAGCUUUUUGGAACGUAAAUUUUGCUUCUUUAAACAGAAAGUUAUACAUUAGUUUGAUUUUAAAGGGAGGUUAUUGGGAAGUUAAAAUUGGCAGUUGUGGUAAAAGAGUAAUAGCAGUUAUAAAAUCUCUUUAAAAACAAAUUCGAAUCAAGUUUCAAAAUUUGGAAGUACUUAAUUCAAUAAACUAAGGAAUAAAUAAAGCAUUCACUGAAACAAAACUAAGUAAAUUCAUUUAAAGCAAAACCGGAUGGGAGCAUUACCUAAGGAUUCUUGACCAUACCAUGUUUACCCGCAGUCAGAUAGCUGGGAUCUUGUUAUUUGGGGACAAGACUUGAUUGUGCCAUGUCUUCCGCAGCCAGAUAUCUUUUACUUCAUUAUUUCCUAGACAUUUGUGGAUAAGAGAACCCUAAGCCUAUAGAGAAUAAAUUAUGUAAUCCAAGACUCUUCAGUCCUUUCAUUUGUGGCUAAUUAGUUAUAAAAUUUGUGAAUUUCAUGCCCCACGCCCCUUGCAAAAUGCAUUUUAUAUCCUUAAAAUGCCAGUGGAUGAACUGAAAUAAUAAAAAAUGGAAAACAGACUUAAUGUUGGUAGCAUUUCUUAAGAAAAACUUGGGAUGUUUAUAAUUUUCUUAGAGCAUUUGCUGAACUUUCCGUGAUCGCAGUCGAGACGGGUCAACGCUAUUUCCCUCAUUGCUCAGAUGUGGUUGAUAAGUUUAGGUAUUGCAACCGCCCUCAUUGCUCAGAAUUGAUUGAUGAGUUUUUGGAUUGUGAUUGGUCCGAUGAUUCCCUCCUAGAAAAGGGUACUCCUGAAGAGCAGAAACUAAAAAGGGCAGGCUUCAUGAAACUUAGAGUAGACAUGCAGGAGGCACUCCGCAAGGACGUGGCUUAUCACCGUUGUUCAGGGCUGCCAUCAUCCUGGUCGGCAUUUUACAAGUACAUGGCUGAGAGCAAUCGUUCAGGUAUGCCGACAUCCUCAGCAGCGAGCAAUUAAGCAUCACCUUUCCCCAAAAGUUAUAUUUGACACCUGGGAAACUAAAAGAGUUUAGUGAGCUUGAUUGGUAUUUGUAGUUUUUUUUCCCUCAAGUGAUCUGGCAGAUUUCAAAUAGUUGNNNNNNNNNNNNNNNNNNNNNNNNNNNNNNNNNNNNNNNNNNNNNNNNNNNNNNNNNNNNNNNNNNNNNNNNNNNNNNNNNNNNNNNNNNNNNNNNNNNNNNNNNNNNNNNNNNNNNNNNNNNNNNNNNNNNNNNNNNNNNCAAAAAACAGUAAAACUGAGAGAUUUCUUUUAUUUUUCCUUAAAAAAUAAGAAAAAUUUAGAAAGUAGUGAGAGAAAUAAAGUAAUUAUAUUCAUAAAUAUAAUGUGUUUGGUGUAGCAACACAAACUAAUAAAUUAUAAUUUAUGAGAUUAGCCUAGAGAAUCAUACAUAUAAAAUUAUAUCCUCUGAGUAAAAAUCUUCACAUCUCUUUUAACUUCUCAUUUAGAUGUCCUUUCUAAAAUCUCUCCAGAGAUAAAUACAUUUUUAUAAAACAAAACAGAAAAAAUAUAUAUAUAUAAUUGUUCAUAAGGACUAUUUGUUCAUAGUACACAAUUGGCCACCAAAGUUAUUUUGGGAGAAAAUUUGCAUGAGAUGGGUACAUCACAUCAUCAGUAUUUUUGUCUCAGUUUGAACAUGCGUCUGUUGUACGAAUCUUACGAGAAUGGUCUCUCAUAAAUUUGAGAGAUGGUGAGGAGUGGGUUAAAGUGCAUUUACAUAGAAUUAAUUAAAAUUAAAAUUUUAGUUUUUUAACUAUUUUUAAUUAAAAGUAGUAGUUAUUCUUUUUAUUAUUGUUAUUCUCAUCAUAUCAACAUCAAGUGACUGGUGAUCAAAUUAAUUAGCUCAUUAAAUUUUUUAAGUGACGUAUGUUAUGGAGUUUCUGUGCAUCUAUUUAAAUAGUAAAAUAUUUAAUUUUGCUUGUCGUAAAAUUUUAAUUUACGUGGGUUAGAAAAAGAAAAAGAAAAAAAUGAAAAAAGAAAUUGACUUAUUAAUUAAUUAACAAUUAUAGAAAGAAUAAAUUGAAAAUUGUAGUUGGGUGAGAAAACUCUCGGGAAUUCCUUUCCCUGGCUUCGUGCGUUUGCUUUUGCCCUUUCGAGCACGAAUUUGAAUCCAAUACUUUAUAAUAAAGAUAUAAUAUUAUUAUAAUACUAAUAAUUAACAUUAAAAUAUUAAAAAAUAAGAAAAAAUUCCAAAUUUUUCUGUUUCUGGUUUUAUUUCAGUUUAAUAUUAUUGGUUCCGUUCUGCUUUGUUCUCGGUUGUCUGCAUAUCUGUAUAUAUUUUUGGCCUCGAAUUGCUUUGAUCACCGGUUUUGUUCUUCAUUUAUCGUGAAUUUUAGAUACCCAUUAAACUUGUUUGGCCAUGUAUGCACUUGAUUGUUACAUUCAGCUGUCAUUUUCAUGGUGGGUUUGUAAGAUAGUCUCUGACUAACAUAUGGCACUGAUUAUGAAUGAUGGUUUUGUGAGACACACCAUACAGACAUUAACUCUGUCAAGAUUGAUAUCUUUUCUAGAUAUUCAAACUUUCAAUAUCAAAUUCAAAAUUCUAGAUAUUCAAAGUUUGAAUAUCAAACUUUGAACUUUGAAUUUUGAAAAAUAAUAAAUAAUUAAAAAAAUACAUGAAUAGUAGCCAAGAUUUUGGCUAUAAAUAGCGGGGCUCAUAUAGAGGGGCUCAUUCCCUCAUUUGCUCAUCCAAUUUUGAGAAGAGUUUUCUUGUAUUUAGAGAGAGUUUAGAGAGCUUGAAAUUAUAAGCUCUUGUUUUAGUGUUUUGAGAGUUUGGGUGUAUUGGGGUUUUGGAAAGUGAGCUAAAAUACUACAAUACUUGUAACUCCUUUUCACUAAUAAAAUAUUUUCCUUCUGUCUUCACCUGUGGACGUAGACUAAAAGUCGAAUCACGUAAUUUCUGGUGUUCUCUUUUAUGCUUGUUCUUUAUUUUCUUCCAAUUUCAUUUUAGCUGCGGCCUGCUGCACCCAUCAAUUUCCUAACAGUGGUAUCAGAGCUAUUGGUUGUAUUUUUGGAGUUGGGUACUAUUCACGUGAAGGUACUAUUCACAUAUACGGUACUGUUCAUGUAUACGAUAUUAUUCACGUAUACGGUACUGUUCACGAUACGGUACUGUUCAUAUAUACGAUAUUAUUCACGUAUACGGUACUGUUCACGAUACGGUACUGUUCAUAUAUAGGCACUGUCCACGAAAAACAGUGGGAGCGAUCCAAGAAUUUUGCGGUGCAAAGCAAGGAAUAGUGGUGUGAGUAAAGCAAUUGUGUGAUUUUGUACAUGUCUAAGAAAGUUCUGUCACAAAGGCGAUAAGAACUUAAGAAGUCUGGGUUUUAAGUGGGACCAUUGUGACCCCUCCAGUCUUUCCUGGGAACUUUCCUAGUGUGCAUAUUCACACAUACUCACAACUAUUCGACGUGAUACACUAGUUUGUGUCUAAUAUUUAUCAACAAAAUGGCGGCAAAGUAUGAAAUUGAGAAGUUCAACGGGAAUAAUUUUUCGUUGUGGAAAAUGAAGAUGAAAGUUGUAUUAAAGAAAAAUAAUUGAUUGACAGCAAUUGGAGGAAGGCCCAUGGAGAUAACUAAUGACAAGUGGAACAAGAUAGAUGGCAACGCCAUUUCUGAUCUACACUUAGCACUUGCGAAUGAAUUAUUAUCUAGUAUGACAGAAAAAAAUACAGCGAAGGGAAUAGAGAUACUCUCACAAAAUUGUAUGAGACCAAGUCACUACACAACAAAAUUUUCUUGAAGAGAAAACUUUAUACUCUUCGAAUGGCGGAAUCUACAAUGGUGACCGAUCACAUCAAUACCUUAAAGACUCUAUUUUUACAACUCACAACGUUGGGUCAUAAUAUAGAGGAGAAUGAACGUCCAGAGCUUCUACUUUAAAGUCUACCAAAUUCGUAUGAUCAACUCAUCAUCAACCUGACGAACAACAAUCCAGCGGACAGUCUAGUUUUCAACGAUGUUGCAGCCUCCGUAUUAAAUGAAGAGAGCAGACGAAAAAAUAAGGAAAACAGACAAGCAAGUUCACAGCAAGCGAAGACGCUAUCGAUGACAAGAGGGAGAUCAACGGAACAUGGCCCCAGUGGGAGUCACAAUCAUGGUAGAUCAAAAUCGAGAAGUAAGAAGAAUGUUAAAUGCUACAACUGUGGCAAGAAAGGGCACGCCAAGAAAGAGUGUUGGAGUAACCAGAAGAGAAAAGAUGGCAAAGAUCCUAAAUCAUCAAAUGCUCAAGGAUGUGUAGCAAGUACCUCGGAUGAUGGCAAAAUUCUCUACAAUAAGAUAACAACUAUUUCAGAAGGUAGAAAAUAACUAUCUGAUGUAUGGCUUAUAGACUUAGGAGGUACCUGACACAUGACCUCUCGAAGAGAAUGGUUCCACACAUAUAAACCUAUCUUAGGAGAAUCUGUAUAUAUGGGUAACGAUCAUGCCUUGGAGAUCGUUGGUAUUGGUACUAUCAAAAUAAAAAUGUUUGAUGGUACAAUUCGCACAAUUGGGGAGGUACGACAUGUCAACGGCCUGAAGAAAAAUCUAUUGUCUUUGGGACAAAUGGAUAGUUAUGGGUACAAAACUCAUAUGGAGAAUGGAAUUAUGAAGAUCAUUAAAGGCGCGCUUAUAUUGAUGAAGGAAGAAAAGAUCGGUGCUAAUUUAUUCAUACUUAAAGGAGAAAUACUACAGGAGGCUGAUGUGUGUGUCGCGUCAAAUGGAGAAGAAUCAAUAAUGAUGUGGCACCUUAAACUUAACCAUAUGUCAGAAUAAGGUUUGAAAAUUCUCUCUGAGUGAAAAUUGCUUCUAGUGCUCAAAUCGGUAAGUUUACCAUUUUGCGAGCAUUGUGUUACAAGUAAGCAUCAUAGAUUAAAAUUUAGUAGAUCUAUUGCUAUAAGUAAAUGCAUUCUAGACUUGAUUCAUUCUGAUGUUUGGGAAUCACCGGAUAUGUCCAUGGGAGGUGCAAAGUACAUGGUGAUUUUCAUUGAUGAUUAUUCCAGGAGAUGUUAGGUGUAUCCAAUUAAGAAAAAGUCAGAUGUGUUUUCAGUGUUUAAAAAAUAUAAAGCGCGGGUGGAACUUGAAUCCGGUAAAAAGAUCAAGUGCUUGAGGACGGAUAAUGGUGAAAAGUAUACAGACGGUGAGUUUCUUGCUUUCUGUAAGUAAGAAGGUAUUCAGAGGCAGUUCAAUGUAGCAUAUACUCCUCAACAAAAUGGAGUGGCAGAGCGGAUGAACAGGACUCUUACAGAACGAAUAAGAGUUAUGUUGAGGACUGCGGCUCUACCUAAUUCAUUCUGAGCAGAAGCAGCCAAAACUGCAUGUUAUAUAGUAAAUCAGUCACCAUCUACAACUAUGAGGCUGAAGACAGCGAUGGAAAUGUGGAUUGGAAAGCCAGCUGAUUACUCAUACCUACAUGCAUUUGGAUGUCCUGUGUAUGUGAUCUACAAUGCCCAAGAAAGAACAAAGUUGGAUCCAAAAUGUAGAAGAUGUAUUUUCUUAGGGUAUGCUAAUGGAGUAAAGGGGCAUCGUCUGUGGGACCCCCACUGUCCACAAGAUCGUCAUCAGCAAAGAUGUUAUCUUUGUAGAAUAUCAACUAAAAAGGAGAGAUGAGGAUGAUAACACUAUAAAAGAAAAGUCAGAAACUGUACCGGUGUAUGUGAAAAAUAAUCUGGAAAAAGAAGAUUUAGAUUCUUCUGAAGUAGCACUAGAGCACGAGGGACAAGAACUAGUUGAGUCCGAGGCUCCAGAAGUUUGUCGGUCAACUGGUGAGAGACGACCGCCAACAUGGCACUCGGAGUAUGUCACAGAGAUCAACGUUGCAUACUGUCUUCUAACAGAGGAUGGAGAGCCAUUAACUUCCCAUGAAUCUUUAAACAGCUCAGAUGUUAUUUUGUGGAUGAUAGUAAUGAAGAAAGAAAUUGAAGCUCUACACAAGAACAAGACAUGGGAACUUGUACCACUACCAUAUGGAAGAAAAGCCAUUGGUAACAAAUGAGUCUACAAGAUCAAGCGUGAUGGCAAUGACUAAGUGGAGCAGUAUCGUGUCAGAUUGGUGGUGAAAAGAUAUGCUCACGAGAUAUUUUCUCCAGUAGUUCAACUCACAACAGUCAGAAUAAUCUUGGCAAUGUGUACUAUAUUUGACUUACAUCUUGAGCAGUUGGAUGUGAAAACUGCAUUUCUUCAUGGAGAACUUAAAGAAGAAAUUUAUAUGCUCUAACCAGAAGCUUUUGCUGAAAAGAAAAAUGAGAACUUGGUUUGUAGGUUGAACAAAUUUUUAUACGGUCUCAAACAAGCGCCGAUGUGUUGGUAUAAGAGAUUUGAUUCCUUCAUCAUGAGCCUUGGAUACAAUAGACUCAGUUCAGACCAUUGUGCAUAUUACAAAAGGUUUGAAGAUAAUGAUUUCAUUAUUUUGUUGUUGUAUGUGGAUGACAUGUUGGCAGCAGGCCCCAACAAAGAUCGAAUCCAAGAAUUGAAGGCAUAAUUGGCUAGGAAAUUUGAAAUAAAGGACUUGGGACCAGCAAACAAGAUUCUAGGGAUGCAAAUUCACCGAGACAGAAAUAACAUGAAGGUUUGACUUUCUCAGAAGAACUACUUGAAGAAAAUCUUGCGACGCUUCAACAUGCAAGAUUGUAAGUGAAUUUCUACCCCACUACCUGUUAAUUUCAAGUUAUCCUCAAGUAUGUGUCCUAGUAAUGAAGCAGAGAUGAAGGAGAUGUCUCGAGUACCGUAUGCAUCAACGGUGGGAAGUUUUGUGUUCGCUAUGAUAUGUAUUAGACCAGACAUUGUACAAGCAGUGGGAGCAGUUAGUCGAUACAUGACGAAUCCUGAUGGAGAGCAUUGGAUAACUGUGAAGAGGAUUCUGAGAUACAUCAAAGGAACCUCCGAUGUUGCAUUAUGUUAUGGAGGAUCAGAGUUUACUGUCAGGGGCUAUGUGAAUUAAGAUUUUACAGGAGAUCUUGAUAAAAGAAAAUCCACUAUUGGCUAUAUGUUUACAUUUGCAGGAGCAGCUGUAAGCUGGGUUUCAAAACUGUAAAUUAUUGUGGCCCUAUCUACAACAGAAGCAUAAUACAUGGCAGCUACACAAGCUUGCAAUGAAGCUAUUUGGAUACAAAGGUUAUUGGAGGAGCUCGGGCACAAACAACAGAAAACUCUUGUAUUUUGUGACAAUUAGAGUGCCUUGCAUAUUGCAAGGAAUCCAGCCUUUCAUUCCAGGACAAAGCACAUAAUGGUACAAUAUCACUUCGUUCGAGAAGUUGUGGAAGAUGGAAGUGUGGAAGAUGGAAGUGUGGAUUUACAGAAAAUCCAUACCAAGGAGAACCUAGCAGAUGUUUUGACCAAGCCAAUCAAUGCUGACAAGUUUAUCUGAAGUAGAUCCUCUUGUGGCCUAGCAGAAACAUAGGCAACAUGAUAAUGGCAAAGAAAAAAGGAUGGUGUGAAGAUUGAUUGGUUCUCAAUCAAAUCUCCAAGUAGGAGAAUGUCAAGAUUGAUAUCUCUUCUAGAUAAUCAAACUUCGAAUAUCAAAUUCAAAAUUCUAGAUAUUCAAAGUUUGAAUAUCAAACUUUGAACUUUGAAUUUUGAAAAAUAAUAAAUAAUUGAAAAAAAUACGUGAAUAGUAGCCAAGAUUUUGGCUAUAAAUAAAGGGGCUCAUUCCCUCGUUUGCUCAUCCAAUUUUGACAAGAGUUUUCUUUUAUUUAGAGAGAGUUUAGAGAGCUUGAAAUUAUAACUUCUUGUUUUAGUGUUUUAAGAGUUUGGGUGUAUUGGGAUUUUGGGAAGUGAACUAAAAUAGUACAAUACUUGUAACUCCUUUUCAUUAGUAAAAUAUUUUCCUUCUGCCUUCGCCCGUGGAUGUAGGCUAAAAGUCGAACCACGUAAUUUCUGGUGUCCUCUUUUAUGUUUGUUCUUUAUUUUCUUCCAAUUUCAUUUUAGCUGUGGCCCUGCUUCACUCAUCAAUUUCCUAACAAACUCGUAUUAAUGUGUACUUACUUCAUUCAAGAUAUUAGUGUUUUUCUCUCUUUUUUUCUAAAAAAAAAAUUGAAAUGCCCCUUUUCGCAUUUUAUAGGUGAAGAAGAAACAUAAUAUCGCAGGACUAGAAUAAAGGAGCCUAUUCUGGUACCUAUUGUCCAAGGAAGCUUCUGUGCAUUGAGUCGGCACUGCCAUGGCAGUCAAAUGUUACCAGAGCCAGGCGGAGUCGUUCCUAAAGGAAUAUAUAUUAGCAUAUCCAUUUGUCCCGUACACUUCAAUUGUCGAUAGCAUUUUUGUUUGCAAGAUGGUAUGUUUUUUGUCGUUACUGCGUGGUGGUAUUUACUAGAAAAUAUUUUGAAUGCAUAGUUUUUAUUUAAUUAGUUAUAAAAUUUGUAUACCCUCUGUUUUCCAUAAGAAUUUGUUCCUUUUCAGGUCUAUUAUCUUGCCAAAUUGAUUAGUGUUGUUCAAUUUAAAUGUUAUUCUAGUUUCUCCAACAUACAGUGGGUCGAGUGGAGUAACAGGUGAUUGAAUAUUUUCAUUUAGUUCAUUUUUCAUUUCCUUUUCAAUCGGUAAAGUUUAAUCAUUUUCUUAAAUCGACAACUGAUGCAGGGCCAUAUCAACCGCCCAUGCCAUUUUUAUAACAGCAAUGUCUUUGUACUUUGUGUUUUGGUGGGAUCUAAGAGUUUCUUGGAUAAACAAUUGUGUAUCCUAUGAUCUAGGCAUGGUCGUUUGGACUGAACUAGUUUUAAAUAAAUAAUUGCCCAAGGAUUUAGUCUCAGUGUUACAGCCCAGUCUUUGUUGUCCAUACUCUUUCGCCCAUCGUGGAUGAGUGCCAUAACAGCUUCUUAAUGUUUUGAAGUGGCUUUUGCACGGUUGCUGUUUCCUUCUGAAGCUAUAGAGUAGCUAUGGAUAUAGCAGAUGCAGAUGCCACCAAUUUUUAUACUGGCCUUAUGAAAAGGAUCAAGCGGGAACUUAAAAGGAGGUGGAUUUGAAUGAAACACCCUUUAUGCAAGCCAAGAGACUCCAAUUAAGCCUGCAAGCUCUGCUUAAAACAGGUAUUUAUAUACGUUAUUAGUUUUUGUACCUUUACAAUUAGUGAUUUUUGUAUCAAAAGAGAGGUUAAUUUUUAGUACACAGGGGCGGCUCUUCCUCUAGACAACUGCCUAGAGCCCCACUAUAGAUGAAGACCCUAAAUUUUUCUCUAACAUUAUAGCUAUUAAAUUAUUCAUUUAUUUUUAUUUUUAUUUUUAUUAUUCUAUAAUAAUCUUUGUUCAAAUAAAUUAUCAAGUCCCUACCAAAUCUCUUUUUAACAUUGGAAUAAGCAAUGUUAAUCCUAUUUACUCCUACAAAAUCUCUACUUAAUGUUAUUUCAUUUAAAACUCCAUAAAAGUCACACAUUUGUUAACUUGUUAUCCAUUAAUAUUUUUAUCCAUAAAAAGAAAAAGCACGAGACAUUCAAUGCUUCAAUUCAUAAGGAAAAAAAGAAGCUUUUUUAAUUUUUACUUAAGAAAAAAAUUAACUAUUUCCAUUGACCGUUGCUGUUUAAAACUUCAAUCCAUCGAAAUUAGAGUUUCAAAUAUCCAAGUUUUUUCUUCCUAUUCUCUUCUUAAUCAGUUGUGUUAUUCAAUUGUUAUUGUUUCUUUUUUAAAUAUUAUUGUUGUUUUCUUUUAAUUAUCCAGCAUAAUUGCUUACUUGUUUUCUCUUCUUUCACUAAAAAAGAAAAAAAUGUCUAAUAGAAAAUGUGCAUCAAGAUACAAAAAACUUGGGAAAACAAAAAGAGAAGAAUAAAAAAGUUAGUUCGAUCUAAAAAAUGAGCUCUUGAUAAGUUUGUCAAAAAUAGUAAAAAAAAGAUAUGAAUUAUAGUGAAGAAUUAGUGAUUGAUGAAAUUUUUCAAAAUUAAAAUUAAUAAAAAUUUAUUUAAGAUCAAAUAAGUCGCAAGAAAAGUUAAUGAUUUAGCUAUAUUGAGAAGAAUGUAUUAGCGAAAUUAGAAAUAAAAAUUUGAGCAAUAAUUUUGCACCUAAGAAAGCUAGAAAAUUUGAUUUUAAAUAAAUAACUUUUUAGUAAAACAAAUACAUAUAUUUGACCUCAAAUUUUUUAAAAAGCCUAAUUAAAGCAAUUCAUCUAAGGCCCCAAAAUUAGUUGAGCCGCCCCUAUUAGUACAUUGAUAUCUCAACAAAAUGUUAGAACCUUUGUAGCACUAGAGACAUUUUCUUAGAGCAUUUACUGACCUUUCUAUGAUUGUAGUGGAGACAGGUCGACGCUACUUCCCUCAUUGCUCAGAAGUGGUUGAUAAGUUUUUGGAUUGUGAUUGGUCCGAUUCUUCCCUCCUAGAAAAGGGUACUCCUGAAGAGCAGAAACUCAAAAGGGCACGCUUCAUGGAACUUAAAGAAGACCUGAAGAAGGCAUUUUACAAGGACAUGGCUGAGAAAAAUCCGUCAGGUCUGUCGUCAUCUUCUCCGAAGGAAGGAGUAAAGUGUAAGGGUAGGCAAAGGUGAUGCUUAGCUGCUUGUCUUUGUUAUUCAUUUAUAGGCAACUAAAAGUGUUUUAGUGAGUUUGAUUGUUACUUGUAGAGAGAUACUCUUAGGGCCUAUGUUAUGGUUAUGUUGUAUAAUAGCAGAGAAACUUUAAGCAUGCAUUGUUGUAUUUUCCCAGAUAUUUGGCUUGUAAUACACCAAAUGACAAAGAAUUUUCUAUUUUUAGAGGGGAAAGUUAUGUCAGUUAAUUAUUUAUUUAUUUUGUCUGUCUAAUUCAGUUUACAUAGCUUUUUUUUUUUUUUUCCUUUCCAAAAGAAUCUGCAUAUCUUCAUCUGCAAUUUAAGUCAUUGGUAACUUCUUUCAAGGAGGAAGGGAAAAAAAAGCAUUUGUAAGUAUAUUUUACAGUACUGAUUUUCCUAAAAAAUUGGUUAAGGUGACAUUAAUGUUCUUUGAAAUAGAUAGAUAUGCAGAAUCUUCAUCGAAAUUGAAAUUAGAAAUGGAUGGAUAUGAGUGACUUAUAUUAAGAAUUUUUUAGUAGAAUGCUUAUACAAAAAUUUGUAGCUCAUUACUCUCUAGAAGGAAAAUAAAUUUUAGAUUGUAAAUAUUAAAUAUUAAAUUUAUAAUAUAAUAAAUGUGUGACUUAAGGUGUACAAUACCCAUAUAAUAAUCAUUAAGAAAAGAAAAAUCAAAUUUUGUAAAUUACCAAUUUUCUCUUGAAAUUUGAUAUUCUAUAUUAACGUAGGUGUUGCAUGGAGUGGGCUAGUACAACUGAAAGAAACUAACUAAAGUAAAACAAAAUAUCAGAAAAAUACGACGAGCUUCUCAUAUUUUUCAAGUAAAAAAAAAACUAAAAUUAAUUAUUUUUACAACCAAAUUCUGAUGCUUGAAGGUUGCUGGAAUUGACCAUUGUAAUUUUGUCAUCCUCGUUAUUCGCUGGCCAUCGUAGCCUUCCUCCAUUAAAAUGAGAGUUGUUUUUCGAACCACGACGUAAUAAAAAUAAUAUCGAUUAAUACUAAUAAAUCUAUUUUGAUUAUUUUGUAGUGUGAUGGUCUAGAAAGUAUCAGGACUUAUCCUAGCAUCCGAACAUGUGAUAAAAUUAUGCGAGUCUCUAUAAAAUACUAUUUAAAUUGUGUAUUAACUAGACAGUUCUAUGUAGAUAUUUCGUAUAUAUUUAUGGUAAUUGUUGAAAAAAAGAACGUAAAAUGAGAUUAAUGAACAUUCAUAAAUGUGGAAAUUAACACAACUAAGAUUUAUGAUGAAAUAAUUUUAUGUCAAAUGAGUGUAAGUGAAUGGAUGUUAAAAUAACUUGUAAUAUAUAUUUUUUGAACUGUUAUUUACACAAGUUUGUCACCAACAGUAAAUUAAAUUAUGAAUAUUUCAAUAAUUCAAGAUCUCAUUCGAUGUUUAUAGUAUUUGUCAGAGUACAAAAUUGUAAAUGGUCUCACCCUUCAUAGUAUAAUGCUAAACCUUUUCAAAAAUUUAUUCUAUUAUAGACGUAUUAGUCAGUUAUAUUAGAUUAUAGACGAAAUUGAAGAUAAAAAUAGUACUCCAUCUAUCAUACAUUACUUUCAAUUUUUUUUGUCAAAUUAUGAGCUGGUGAAAGGAUGCAACAAAUUACGUCAAACAUUGUAAAAUUUAUCAAUCACUAAAUAAAUAUCAUGUUAUAUGUGUGUGUGUGUGUCUCUCUCUCUAUCUAUCGAUAUAUAUAUAUAGGGGUGGGCAUAAACCCACAACCCAUGGGUUUAUCCAAACUCAAACCAAAUUAAAUGGUUUGGGUUGGGUAAAUCAUUAAAAUGGGUUAGAUGUGGGUUUUAUGUAGAAAACCAUUUCAUUAUGGUUUGGGUAUGGUUUACCCAUGGGUUAUGGACAAAACCCCAACACUCAAAUUUUCAAAUGAAAUAAAUGAAAACAAAAUAAAUGAACACAAAUAAGUGAAAAACCACCAUUAAAUUUUUUACAGCGUGAUCAAUUGUCAACAGUUAGAAAAUGAAAAUAACAGUAAAAAUAAAUUUAAAUUAAAUAAAUAUUGUUGUAAAUAACAUAAAUUUUUUUUCUUAUUUACAAAAAUAAUUCCUCCCACAUGGAAGGAUCAUCAUAGAAAGAGCAGGAGACUCUACUAAUGAUCAAUAAUAACUCGGCUUAGACUGGGUCCGAUAUGCUAGAUGGCGGCUAAUUUUUUGUCAAUAAUUGAAUGUAAUGCCCAUAUUAAGUAUUAAAACAAGAAAUAUAUGUUUUGAUAUGAGCAGAAAAAUUAAUAAUAAAAUUUUUUCUUGUAAUUAUUUAUUUUGUGAACAUUUUCUUAUAAUAAAUAUUUUGUAAUAUUUUAAAAUUAAAUGUAAAAAGUAUAGGUAAAAUAUUUUAUUAUUUAUCUUAUAAUAAAUUUUUAUUUGUCAAUCAAGUUUUCUUAUAAUAAUUUUUUUAUCAUUUGACUAAUAAUUUUCUUAUAUAUUUAUUAUAAGAAAAUUUUCACAAAAUAAAUAAGUAUAAAAAAAUUUUAUUAUUAAUUUUUUUGUUCAUAUCAAAACAUAUAUUUCUUAUUUUUAAUGUUUUAUUUUUUAUUUAGUUUCUAUUCAUGUGAUUUAUUUAAUUUAGAAUAAAUAUAAAUAAAAGAGUAGUUGAAAAUAAGGGUAAUAUUGUAAACGUAUACUAUUAGAGGAGUUUUUGGCCAUUAUAAAAGCAGAAGGGGGAAAAAUAAUAUAUAUUGAUUACUGUAGGGGGGAAACUGACAAUCUCCCUAAAAUUAAACAUAUAAGUAGACAAUAUAACGCAAAACUACCAAAACGAUAAAUAAAAACAAAUAUUGCAUAAUUAAAUAAAUAACAAGUGGUAAAAUUUAUUAUUAAAUUGUUAAUGUCAUGUUUGUGAAAGUUUAUUAUUAAAGUGUACUUUCUUAUUUAUUGAGAAAUAAUAAUUUUUGUGAUUAAACUUUAUUUUGAUUUUCUAGUAUUCUUUAAUUUAAGGAUUAAGUUUUUGUAAAAUUUAUAAUUUUUAUCCACUAUAUUUUUUUAUAUUUUAAUAUUAAUUUAAUAAUUAAUAACAAUUAAUAAUUAUUAUAAUUUUGAUAUAAUUAAAUUUUAUUAAAAUAAAAACUAUUUUGAUAAUAAAAUUCAAACCAAACCCAAACCAAACCCAAAUGGUUUGGUUUGGUUUGGGUUAAAAAUAUUUGGGUUGGUUUGGGUUGGAUCCAAAUUUUUAUGGUUUGGUUUGGGUUGACUUAAAAUCCAACCCAAACCAACCCAUGCCCACCCCUAUAUAUAUAUAUAUAUAUAUAUAUAUAUAUAUAUAUAUAUAUAUUAUACAAAAUCUGAUUCUCAUGAACUAAAAGGACAGGCUUUGGAUGAUGUAUCAUACUCAAAAAUCUAUUUUUAUUAAUGAUUAUACUAACAUUUAAAGGUGUCUGUAAGCUAUAUUAUAUAUUUACUAAUUACUGUUAAGCUUACACUGCUUCCUUCUCAGAAAAUCAUCUUUUGGCUUUUUCUAUUUUUAUGCUUUUUAAAAGUUUUUUCAAGAUUUUUUUUUUAUUGCUUUACCAAGUGGGCAGUUAAAAAAUCUUUUUUUUUUUUUUUUUGUGUGUUGCUUUUGAUAGAAACAUAUGAUUCACCUCUGUUUCUUCGAUGCUUGCUUGCUUCAUGAUUGGUCAACUUGGGUCAAACUUUCAUCUUUAAAUCACAUAGGUAGAUCAUGAUUCAAGCUUCAGUUAUAAGCCUUUCAUUGUGACUGAUAUCAUUCUUUCUUGAUGUACAUAUAUAUAUAGAUUCAGUUUGAAUGUGGUCCUUGAUAGUUUCAUGGAAAAUGCAAACGAAAUGUCAGCAUCUUUGAGUUUUGUCUCAUCAUAUCCGUCUAGUUGGUCUACUAAUCAACCAACAGGCUCUGAAACUUGCUCUGAUCUUGAUAAUUUGAACUUAAGGAGGCAAAGCAGCAAUCCUGAAGAGCCAUUGCUUGAUGCUGAGAUUGUUGUUGAGGGCAAAUCAGUGGCAGUUAAUCGCUGCAUAUUGUCUGCACACAGUCAAUUUCUUCAUUGGCUAUUUAAUUUGAGAAAUGAUGGUUCUGUGAGUGAGGGGAAACCCAAGUAUCUUAUGACUGAUUUGGUGCCUUAUGGGAAGGUUGGAUAUGAAGCUUUCAAUGAUAUCUUGCAUUAUCUUUACACUGGGAAGGUUAAGCCAUCUCCUCUAGUAGUGUCCACGUGUGUUGACGAUGCUUGUGCUCAUGAUGCUUGCCCUCCUGCUGUCAAUUAUGCUAUUGAGUUGAUGUAUGCUUCUGCUGCUUUUCAGAUGAAAGAACUCGUUUUGCUUUUGCAGGUAAUUGUGCUUCCCUGCUAUUUGUAUUGCUUAAAUUUAUGCUUCUUGGUAUAGUUUUAACAUUUCGGUAUAGUUUUAACAUUUAUGGAAUUGAAAUCAAUUUCAAUUGUGCGAAAGCAAGUAAAUGUGAAGCAACUUCAGUGAUUCGCAAUAUUAGUCAUCGCAGGAGAUCCAAAAUUUGUAGAUACUGUAGAAUUGUAGAGCCCAAAACUUCAUCUUAUCUUGCAAGAGUUUGUUGUUUUAUUUUCAAAUAGACAAAAAAAAAAUGAUGAUGGGCAGCGAACUCUAGGGAUCAAUGCUUGCUGACCCUGACACCCAAUGCUUGAUGUCUAGCUUGCUUAUUUUUCCAACAAUGACACUACCUUUCUAGUAAAUGAAAUAUUAUUCUACAUCUAUGUAUUGGAACUUUGACAAACUUCGGUUUUCCUUUGUUGAUUCACUGGUCUCACUUUUAUUCAAUUGCCCGAUUAUGAAAUGGUCUAUUGGAGACUAGAAAUGGAAGGUUUCUUGUGGAAAAAGUUUUACUUGACCACCGAUUUUCAUUUUGGUGGGUGUCAGCGCAUGCUCUGGCUUGACUAUUCUGUUAUUUAGGCUGUUUUAUCUGAUCUUCUCACUCACUUGAUAGUUAGUUCUCUCAUGCUUCCAAGCUCAAAGAUUAAUGCAAGAGAUUCUCUUUUUCCCCUCUAGACUAUAACCUAUCAAAUCAUUAAUGCUAUAGAAUAACAUCUUGUGUAGGCGGGCUUAUGUCUCUGAACAUUUGUCCAUCGGCAUUUGCAAUAAGCAUGGCCCUGAUUUUUCGUCUCAUUAUUAUUUUCCUACCCAGAUUGUCCCCUUUAAGUAGCAUAUUGAAGGAGAGCAACAUUCUUAUAUAUGUUUUAUGAUGUUUACCAAUAAUUACCCACCACGGGGUAUUUAAAUUUUGAAUGUAUUAUUCUGACUCAAAACUCUAUCUGUCGGUGUAGCUUCAGCUUCUGAACUUUGUUGAGAAGGCUGUUGUGGAAGAUGUAAUCCCAAUCCUUGUGGCUGCCUUGCAUUGCCACCUGAACCAGCUUCGUUCUCUCUGCAUCCAGAGAGUUGUAAGGUCAAAUCUUGACAAUAUAUAUCUCGAGAAAGAGCUUCCUGAGGAAGUUUCAAGUGAAAUCAAAUCAAUCCGCAUCAAAUUUCACCAGGAGUCCGAAGAUAAUGCAGCAGAAGUAGACCCUGUGCAUGCAAAAAGAGUCAGAAGAAUCCACAAGGCACUGGACUCUUAUGAUUUUGAACUGCUGAAUCUUCUUCUGAAUGAAUAUGAAGUCACUUUAGAUGAUGCUUAUGCUCUGCACUAUGCCGCUGCCUACUGCAGCCCUAAUGUUUUUGUGGAAGUGCUCAGUAUGGGCUUGGCUGAUCUCAAUCUUAAGGAUGCAAGAGGUCAUACGGUGCUUCAUGUGGCUGCACUGCGUAAGGAGCCAGCAGUGCUGCUGGCCCUGCUGAGCAAGGGAGCAUGCGCAUCAGAAACUACAUCAGAUGGACAAACAGCUGUAGCAAUCUGUCGGAGAAUGACAAGGCGAAAGGAUUAUAUUGAAGCUUCGAAGCAGGGGCAGGAAAUUAACAAAGACCGGUUAUGCAUUGAUGUCCUAGACAACUUCAUGUCUGGGAACUUGACAAUGUCAUCCGAGGUGAUGGAUGAUGAUUUCCAAAUGCAGCUGAACAAUCUGGGAAAUAGAGGUGAUAUUCCUUUAUUGGUAUUAGUAAAUCAUCUUCUCAGAGUUUGUGUGUUCCUUCAUCUUAGCAUGUCAAACACACAUGGGCUCAUUGCUUGGGGCCAGUCAUGUGAUUUUUUCCACUUUUUUCGAAUAGACAAUUGUGAAUCCAUUUGAUCUACGUUUGGUGGUUUGCACUGAACUAGUUUUUGAUAAAUAAUUGUACAAGACUUUGUCAUCAAAACUAUUUCAUUUCCAAAAGUAAUGAGGGACAAAAAAAUUUAUGCCUAUCCUGGAUGAGUGCCAUAACAGCUUCUUAAUAUUUUGCAGUGGCUUUUGCACGGUUGUUGUUUCCUUCUGAAGCUAUAAUAGCUAUUCGUAUAGCAGGUGCAGAUACCACCAAUUUUAAUACUGGCCUUUCAGCAUUAAAUCCUAUAGGACUGAGUUGGAACUUGAAGGAGGUUGAUUUGAGUGAAACGCCUUUGCAAACUCUGCUUAAAACAAGUGUUUAUGUACUUUAUUAACUUUUACACCUUUCUAUUUACUGAUUAUCUUUAUAAUUAAAUAAUACAUGUAUCAAGGUUUCUCCUUACAUUUCAUUAGAAGUGAAUUGGAAUCUCUUCAUGGUGCUCUGUUAGGUGUAAUGAGAUGUAGCAAAAGAGAAAGGGUAAUUGUUAGUGCAUUGAUAUCUCAACAGAAUGGUAGAACCUUUCUUUAUAUCACUAGAGACAUUUGUUGUAGGGAUGCCUCCAUAAUCAGUGUGCUUUAAAACUUUCCAGGAGUUAGCUACGCCUACCUCCGGACCUAAGGCGUGACACACAGACCCAAUUAGUGCCUAAAACACAUAUCGAAUCUGAGCAAAACUAAAUGCUUGUAAAUCCAAAUCUCCAAAAUAUCAAAAGCUCAUCUACUUUCUCUUUUCAUGGAUUUCACCAAAUGUUUUUAAAAAUUCAUUCUCAAUCAUAAACUAUGCGCAUCUAAAUAAUCACCAUAUCAAUAUACAACAAUACUUCCUCAUAAGCAAAUAAAUCUUACAUUCCUCUUCUUACAUGAUUUAAAAAAAAAAAAACUUUUAGAAGUCCCCUAAAUACGAACAUAAACAGAAUUCAGCUGCUAAAACUAUGCAAACACAAGCUUCAAUCAGUAAUACAUACGACUAAUUAUUAAAACAUCUAGCUAGAAGCCUUACAGAAGCUCAAUCCUUCCGAAGCUUGUUUCCAAAGAACCUUCAAAUUAAUAAUCGCUACUAUCUGCGAAAAAUAAUUGAUAAUGGGGCAGUUGUUAAUAAGUAAUUAAGUAGAACCAUUCAUAACGAACGAAAAGAAUUCUUUGCGCAAUAUUUUCAGAAAAUUCAUUUAACUUUUCAAAUGAAUCAGAGUAAUUUUUCAAACGCAGUCAGGAUUUGUGUCAACAUAAACGUUUGAGACAGAAGCUUUUUGGAACAUAAAUUUUGCUUUUAAUAUAAAGUUAUACGUUGGUUUGAUUUUAAAGGGAGGUUAUUGGGAAGUUAAAAUGCACAGUUGUGGUAACAGGGUAAUAGCAGUUAUAAAAUCUCUUUUAAAACAAAUUCGAAUCAAGUUUCAAAUUUAGGAAGUAUUUAAUUCAAUAAAAUAAAGAAUAAAUAAAGUUUUCGUUGAAGCGAAACUAAGUAGAUUCAUUUAAAGCAAAACAGGAUGCGAGAAUUACAUAAGGGUUCUUGACCCUACCAUGCAGUCAGAUAUCUGGCACCUUGUUAGCACUUGAUUGUGCCAUGUUCUCCACAGCCAGAUAUCUUGUUCUUCAUUAUUUCCUAGACAUCUUUGGAUAAGGAACCCUAAGCCUAUUGAGAAUAAAUUCUGUAAACCAAGACUCUCUUCAGUUCUUUCAUUUGUGGCUAAUUAGUUAUAAGAUUUGUGAAUUUCCUGCCCCAUGGCCCCUGCAAAAUGCAUUUUAUAUCCUUAAGAUGCCAAUGGUUGAAUUGAAAUACUAAAAACCGGAAAACAGACUUAAUGAGAUGUUUAGAAUUUUCUUAGAGCAUUUGCUGAACUUUUUGUGAUCGCAGUCGAGAGGGGUCGACGCUACUUCCCUCAUUGCUCAGAGGUGGUUGAUAAGUUUUUGGAUUGUGAUUGGCUCGAUGCUUCCCUUCUAGAAUCAGAUGCUCUGGAAGAGCAGAAACUUAAAAGGGCACGCUUAAUAGAACUUGAAGAAGAUGUGCAGGAGGCAUUCUGCAAGGACAUGGCUUAUGACAAUCGUUCAGGGCUGCCAUCCUCCUCGUCGGCAUUUUACGAUUACAUGGCUGAGAACAAUCGUUCAGGCAUGCCGACAUCCUCCGCAUCGAGCAAUUAAGCAUCACCUUUUCCAGGAAGUGAUACUUCGACGCCCGGGAAACUAGAAGAGUUUAGUGAGCUCGACUGGUACUUGAGAGAUGGUCAGAGCCUAUGUUAUGGCUAUGUAUUGUCUAGUAGCAGAGAAUAUAUUAAUGAAUGAUGGAUGACUUUCUUGUGACUCUUUGAUGCAAUCAUGUAACGAUUUGAGUAAUGCUAACAUUAUCUCAUAUAUAUAUAUAUAUAUAUAUAUAUAUAUUUUUUUUUUUUUUUUUUUGAGUGAUCUGACAUUCAUCAAUUAGAUUGUAAAAUUAUUAUAUUGUUUCAAGUCCAGUGAGACACAACUUAUAACAUUGAUGGAAUGAAUCGCAUUAUUCAUAAACUCAUUUCAUAAAAUAUUUUUAUAUAAAAUUGUAUAAUUUAUAGGCUAUGCUUAAAAAGUUAAGAAAAAAAAAAAGGGUGUACUACAAUUGGGAUGAGGCAUGCAUGAGUAGUCACAUUAGUUGCUGAACAAACUUUGCCUUUUUAAUUUUGGAUACAUUACUAUCUCAAAUUUUCUAUUAUCAGUAAAUGAGAUUAAGAUAAUCUUUUUUUUUAAAAAAAAAAAAAGAGAGCUGGAGAUUCUUUUUUCCUUAAAAAAAUGAAGAAAAAUUUAGAAAGUUGUGAGAGGGGGAGAAAUAAAGUAAUUAUAUUCACAAAUAUAAUGUGUUUAAGGUGUAUUUGGCACACUGUAUUGUAUUAUGCCGUAUUGCAUUAUUUUAAUGCAGGUGUAUUGUAUUAUUAUGUAUUGUUUUAGCACUGUAUUAUAAUAAUGUUAUACAACGUUUGGUGCUACACUGUACUGUAUUAAUUUUUUGUGAUUAACUUAAAUAAUAUAUUUAGAAAAUAAUAUUUAUUAGUACCUAGAAAAAUACUAAAUAUAUAAGUCUUAAAUUUUAAAAAUUUAACAUUAUUUUUUAGUAUAGAUGUUAAAAAAUAUCACAAUUUUUUGUAAAGAUCGAAACUUAUAGCCUUAUAUUUUUGACAAUGUAACAUUGAUUUUUCAGUAUUUCCUAAAUAUAUAACAUGUGAAAUAAAGAUCGAAGUAAAUAAUUUAAUCAAAUAAUCUCUAAAUAAUAUCAUAACUUAAUGAUAUUUUAUGUUAUUAUUUUUAUUGGUAUUAAUUUUAAAUUAAUAUUAUUUAAAUUUAUUCAUACAUAAAUAUUUAUUGUUAGUUAUAUUAAAUUUUUAAAUAAUAAUCAAUUUUUAUAUAUUAAUUAUUAUAAAAUUAAAUAAUGCAUUAUUUAGUUAUAUUUUUAAUAUAAUGAAAAUUAAAAUAUGAAUAAUAAAUAAUAAAAUUAUUAAUUUAUUUCAAUAAUUAUGAUGUGAACAGUGUUAUAAUAUACUAUAAUCACAUGCACCAAACACACCCUUAAUGCGGCAAUACAAACUAAUAAAUUAUAAUUUAUAAGAUUAGUUUAUAGAAUCUUACAUAUAAAAUUAUAUCCUCUAAAUAAAAAUAUUCACACCUGUUUUGACUUCUCAUUUAGAUGUUCUUUCUAAAGUCCCUCUAGCGAUAAACACAUUUUUAUAAAACAAAACAGAAAAAAUUAUAUAUAAUUGUUCAUAAGGACUAUUUGUACAUAGUACACAAUUGGCCACUAAAAUUAUUUGAGGAGAAAAGUUAUAUGAGAUGGAUUCAUCAUAUUAUCAGUAUUUAUUAGCAGAUCCAUUUGUCUCGUACACUUCAAUUGUUGGUAGCAUUUUUGUUUGCAAGAUGGUAUGUUUUUCGUCGUUACUGCGAGGUAGUAUUUACUAGAAAAUAUUUUGAAUGCAUAGUUUUUAUUUAAUUAGUUAUAAAAUUUUUAUACCCUCCGUUUUCCAUAAGAAUGUGUUCCUUUUCAGGUAUUCAUAUGCCUUAUUAGUUUUUGUACCUUUACAAUUAGUGAUUUUUUUAUCAAAAGAGAGAGGUUAAAUUUUAGUACAUUGAUAUCUCAGCAAAAUAUUAGAACCUUUGCACCACCAGAGAUAAUUUCUUAGAUCAUUUACUGAGCUUUCUAUGAUUGCAGUUGAGACGGGUCGACGCUACUUCCCUCAUUGCUCGUUUUUGGACUGUGAUUGGUCUGAUGCUUCCCUCCUAGAAAAUGGUACUCCUGAAGAGCAGAGACUCAAAAGGGCACGCUUCAUGGAACUUAAAGAAGACGUACAGAAGGCAUUUUACAAGGACAUGGCUGAGAAAAAUCGUUUAGGUUUGUCGUCUUCUCCAAAGGAAGGAGUAAAGUGUAAGGGUAGGAAAAGGUGAUGCUUAGCUACUUGUCUUUUGUUAUUCAUUGCUAGGAGACUAAGAGAGUUUUACUGAUUUUGAUUGUUACUUGUAGAGAGAUACUCUUAGAGCCUAUGUUAUGGCUUAUGUUGUAUAAUAGCAGAGGAACUUCAAGCUUGCAUUGUUGUAUUUUCCCAGGUAUUUGGCAUGUAAUAUAUACUAAAUGACAAAGAAUUUUCUAAUUUUAGAGGGAAAAAAUAUGUCAGUAAAUUAUUUGUUUAUUUUAUCUGUUUAAUUCAGUGUAUAAUAUAGCUUCUUUUUUAAAAAAAAAAAAUCUCCAUAUCUUCAUCUGCAAACUCAGUCAUGUGCAACUUCUUUCAGGGAGAAAAGAGGGAAAAAAAAAGGCAUUUGUACCUGUAUUUUACAGUAGUGACCCUCAUACAGAAAUUGGUUAAGAUGGCAUUAAUGCUCUUUGAAAUAAAUAGAUAUGCAGAAUUUUCAUCGAAAUUGAAAUUAGAAAUGGAUGGAUAUGAAUGAUAUAUAUGCAGAAUUUUUAACAGAAUUUUUAUACAAAAAUUUGUAGCUAAUUACUCCCCGAAGAAAAAUUUUCAAUUGUAGAUAUUAAAUUUUAAAUUUAUACUAUAAUAAAUGUGACUUAAGUUGCACAGCACCCAUAUAAUAAUAAUAAUUAAGAAAAGAAAAUUUAAAUUUUGUAAAUUACCAAUUUUUUAAAAUUAAUUAUUUUUAUACCCAAAUUCUCAUGCUCGACGGCCGCUGGAAUUGGCUAUUGUAAUUUUGUCAUCCUCAUUAUUCACUGGCCAUUUUUGGACCACGACAUAAUAGAAAUGACAUAGAUUAAUACUAAUAAAUUUCUUUUGAUUAUUUUGUAGUGUGAUGAUCUAGUGAGUAUCAGUGUCCAUCAUAGCACCUGAACAUAUGAUAAAAUUUGUGAUUUUCUGUAAAAUAGUAUUUAAAUUGUGUAUUAACUAGACAACUCUAUGUAGACCACCGCUCACUAAAUCAUUACUUUAUUUUGUAUAUGUUUAUGACAAUUGUUGAAGAAAAAUAUAAAGUGAGAUUAAUGAACAUUCAUGAAUGUGGGAAAUUAACACAACUAGGAUUUAUGAUGAAAUAAUUUUAUGUCAAAUGAGUGUAAGUGAAUGGAUGUUAAAAAAACAUGUAUAUAUUUUUGAAUUGUUAUAUAUACAAGUUUGUCACUAACAGUAAAUUAAAUUACGAAUAUUUUAAUAAUUUAAAAUCUCAUUCAACCAUAGCUAUUUAUAGUGUUAUUUGGAGUACCAAAUUGUAAAUAGUCUCACUCCUAAUAGUAUAAUGCUAAACAUUUUCAAAAAUUUAUUUUAUUAUAAUCGUCUUAGUCGGUUAUAUUUAUAUCCAAAUUGAAGAUUAAAAUAGUACUUUAUAUAUCAUACAUUACUAAAAGAAUUUUUUUUUCUUAAUCACGUCUAAAAUUGUAAAAUUCAUCAAUCAUCAAAUAAAUUAAAUAUCAUGUCUCCUGGGCUUAAAAUAUAGGCUUUGAAUGAUGUAUCGUACUCAAAAAUCUAUUUUUAAUUAAUUAUUAUAGGAACGUUUAAAUGUAUCUCUAAGCUAUAUUAUAUAGUUGCUAAUUACUAUUAAGCUUGCACUUCUUCCUCCUCAGAAAAGCAUCUUUUGGCUUUUUCUAUUUUUAUGCUUUUUUGGAAAUUUUUUUUUCAAGAUAUUUUUUUAUUGCUUUACCUAGUGGGCAAUUAAAAAAUCUAUAUAUAUAUAUAUAUAUAUAUAUAUAUAUAUAUAUUUUUUUUUUUUUUUUUGCUUUUGAUAGAAACAUAUGAUUCCCCUCUGUUUCUUUGAUGCCUGCUUGCUUCAUGACGGGUGAACUUGGGUCAAACUUUCAUCUUUAAAUCACAUAGGUAGAUCACGAUUCAAGCUUCAGUUAUAAGCCUUUCAUUCUUUCUUGAUAUAUAUAUAUAUAUAGAUUCAGUUUGAAUAUGGUUCUUCAUAGUAUCACGGAAAAUGCAAACGAAAAGUCAGCAUCUUUGAGUUUUGCCUCAUCGUAUUCGACUUGUUGGUCUACUAAUCAAUCAACAGGCCCUGAAAUUUGCUCUGAUCUUGAUAAUUUGAACUUAAGGAAGCAAAGCAGCAAUCCUGAAGAGCCAUGGCUUGACGCUGAGAUUGUUGUUGAGGGCAAAUCAGUGGCAGUUAAUCGCAGCAUAUUGUCUGCGCACAGUCAAUUUCUUCAUCGGCUUUUUAAUUUGAGAAAUGAUGGUUCUGUGAGUGAGGGGAAACCCAAGUAUCUUAUGACUGAUUUGGUGCCUUAUGAUCGGAAGUUUGGAUUUGAAGCUUUCAAUGAAAUCUUGUAUUAUCUUUACACUGGAAUGAUUAAGGAAUCUCCUUCAGAAGUGUCCACGUGUGUUCAUGAUGCUUGUGUUCAUAGUACUUGCCCCCCUGCUAUUAAUUAUGCUAUUGAGUUGAUUUAUGCUUCUGUUGCUUUUCAGAUGACAGAGCUCGUUUCGGUUUUUCAGGUAAUUGCGCUUCCCCGCUAUUUGUAUUGCUUAAAUUUAUGCUUCUUCGUAUAGUUUUAACAUAUAUGGGAUUGAAAUCAAUUUCAGUUGUCACUUGCAAAGACCCAAAGAAUCGAAGCAAGUAAAUGCGAAGCAACUUCGAUGGUUCGCAAUAUUAGGCAUUGUAGUAGAUCCAAAAUUAGCUUGUUAAAAGUGUAGAGAGCCCAAAACUUCGUCUUAUCUUGCAAGAGUCUGUUGUUUUAUUUUGACAGAGACAAAAAUGAUGAUGAUGGGCAGCAAACUCUAGGAAUCAAUGCUUGCUGACACUGACACCCAAGAAUGAUAACAACUAACCAAAAAGGUAUAGAUUACAUGAGUCUGAAUUUGAUAGGUGCACCUAUCCUAUCGCAAAAAGCUUUUGCGUUGAGUUUCUAACCAAGGAAAAUUGUCACUUCUGUCUGUAGGCUUCAUAGAUUUGUUCAAGCCUUCAAGGAUGUCUAGCUGUUACUUACUGUCCAACAACGGCGCUACAUUUCUAGUGAAUGAUAUGUUAUUCUACCUCUGCAUAUUGGAACUUUGACAAACUUCGCCUUUCCUUUAGUUGAUUCACUCGUCUCACUUUUAGUAAAUUGCCUGAUUAUGAAAUGGUCUAUUGGAGACUAGCAUUGGAAGGUUUCUUCUAGAAAAAAUUUUACUUGACCACCAAUUUUCAUUUCGGUGGGUGUCAGUUCAUGUUCUGGCUUGACUGUUCUGUUAUUUAGGUUGUUUUAUCCGUAUUUUCUCACUCACUUGACAGUUAGUUCUCUCAAGCUUUCAAGCUCAACAGUGAAUGCGAGAGAUUCUCUUUUUCCUGUCCAGGUUAUAGCCUAGCAAAUCAUUAAUGCUUUAGAAUAACAUGUUGGGUAGGUUAGCUUAUGUCUCUGAACAUUGGUCCAUCGGCAUUUAGGUUUGAUAAGCAUGACACUGAUUUUCCGCCUCAUUAUUAUUUUCCUGCACAGAUUAUCCCCUUUAAGUAUUUGAAUUUUGAAUAUAUUAUUCUGAAUCAAAACUCUAUUUGUCCGUGUAGCAUUUUAUAUAUGCUUUAUUAUGUUUACCAAUAAUUACCCACUAUGGGGCAUUUGAAUUUUGAAUAUGUUAUUCUCAAUCAAAGCUCUAUCUGUCCAUGUAGCUUUGGCUUCUGGAAGUGGUUGAGAAGGCUCUUGUGGAAGAUGUAAUCCCAACUCUUGUGGCUGCCUUGCAUUGCCAACUGAACCAGCUCCGUUCUUACUGGAUCCAGAGAAUUGCAAGGUCAAAUCUUGACAAUGUUUGUCUCGAGAAAGAGCUUCCUGAUGAAGUUUCAAGUGAAAUCAAAUCACUCCGUGUCAAAUCUAACCAGGAGUCUGAAGCUAAUAUAGCAGAAGUGAAUCCUAUAAAUGCAAAAGUAGUUAGAGGAAUCCACAGGGCACUGGACUCUGGUGACGUUGAACUGUUGAAGCUUCUUCUGGAUGUAUCUAAUGUCACUUUGGAUGAUGCUUAUGCUCUGCACUAUGCUGCUGCCUACUGCAACCCUAUGGGUUUUAAGGAAGUGCUCAAUAUGGGCUUGGCUGAUCUCAAUCUUAAGGAUGCAAGAGGACGUACGGUGCUUCAUGUAGCUGCAAGGCAUAAGGAGCCAGCAGUGAUGGUGGCCCUGCUGAGCAAGGGAGCAUGCGCAUCAGAAACUACAUCAGAUGGGCAAACAGCUUUAGCAAUCUGUCGAAGAAUGACAAGGUGAAAGGAUUAUAUUGAAGCUACAAAGCAGGGACAGGAAACUAACAAAGACCGGUUAUGCAUUGAUGUCCUUGAGAGAGAAAUGAGAAGGAACUCCAUGUCUGGGAACUUGGCAAUGUCAGCAGAAGUGAUGGAUGAUGAUUUCCAAAGGAAGCUGGACUAUAUGGAAAGUAUAGGUGAUAUUUCUUUACUGGUAUUAGUUCAUCACCUUCUCAGAGUUUGUGCAUAGCACACUUCUUUCUACUGUUUUUUUGUCCCUUCAUCUGGAAAAUAAAGGUGAUAUUCCUUUGCUGGUAUUAGUAAAUCAUCUUCUCAGAGUUUGUGUGUCCCUUCAUCUUAGGAUCUCAAACACACAUGGGCUCAUUGCUUGGAGCACACUGUUGGCCAGUCGUGUGAUUUGAUCCCUUUUUUGGAAUAGACAACUCUGAAUCCAUCUAAUCUAGGCUUGGCGGUUUGCACUGAACUGGUUUUUGAUGAAUAAUUGCACAAGACUUUGUCAUCAAAACUUUUAUUUUUUGGUUUUUUUGCCCCAAAAGUAAUGAGGUACAAAAAAAUCUAUGCCUAUCCUGGAUGAGUGCCAUAACAGCUUCUUAAUAUUUCGCAGUGACUUGUGUACGGUUGUUUCCUUCUGAAGCUAGAGUAGCUAUGGAAAUAGCAGGUGCAGAUACAACCACUGGCCUUUCAGCAUUUGGUCGGAAAGGACUUAGUGGGAACUUAAAGGAGGUUGAUUUGAAUGAAACGCCCUCUAUGCAAGCCAAAAGAUGCCAAUUGAGACUGCUCACUCUGCUUAAAACAGGUAUUUAUAUACUUUAUUAACUUUUGCACCUUUCUAUUUACUGAUUAUCUUUAUAAUUAAAUAAUACAUGUAUCCAGGUUUCUCCUUCCAUUUCAUUAGAAGUAAAAUUGGAAUCUCUUUAUAGUGCUCUGUUAGGUGUAAUCAGAUGUAUCAAAAGAGAAAGGGUAAUUGUUAGUACAUUGACAUCUCAACAAAAUGGUAGAACCUUUCUUUAUACCACUAAAGACAUUUGUUGCAGGUAUGCCUACAUAAUCGGUGUCCUUUAAAACUUUCAAGGAGUUAGCAAUGCCUAACCCUUGAAACACUAAAUCUCACGGGAUCAACUUUUUACCUCUAGACCGAAGGUGUGCACCCAGACCCAAUUAGGACUUAGAACACAUAUCGAAUCUGAGCGAAACUAAAUGCUUGUAAAUCCAAAUCUCCAAAAUAUCAAAAGGUCGUCUACUUUCUCUUUUCAUGAAUUUCACAAAAUUUUGAAAAAUUUAUUCUCAAUCAUAAACUAUGCGCAGCUAAUUAAUCAGUAUAUCAGUAUACAACAAUACUUCCUCGUAAGCAAAUAAAUCUUACAAUCCUUCUUACAUGAUUUAAAAAAAAAAAAUACUUCUAUAAGUCUUCUAAAUACAAACAUAAACUGAACUCAACUGCUAAAACUAUGCCAAAAUACAAGCUUCAAUCAGUAAUACACGCGACUAAUUAUUAAAAACAUCUAGCUACAAACCUUAUGAAAGCUCAAUCCUUCCGAAGCAUUCUUAGAAUUAAUAAUUUCUACUAUCUGUGAAAAAUAAUUGACAAGGGGUCAGCUGUUAACUCAAUCCGUAGAAACAUUCAUAACGAACAAAAAGAAUUCUUUGUGCAAUAUUUUCAGAAAAUUCAUUUAACCUUUCAAAUGAAACAGAGUAAUUUUUCAAACACAGUCAGGAUUUAUAUAAAACAUAAACGUUUCAGACAAGCUUUUUGGAACGUAAAUUUUACUUCUUUGAACAGAAAGUUAUACAUUAGUUUGAUUUUAAAGGGAGGUUAUUGGCAAGUUAAAAUUGGCAGUUGUGGUAAAAGGGUAAUAGCAGUUAUAAAAUCUCUUUUAAAACAAAUUCAAAUCAGGUUUUAAAUUUUAGGAGUACUUAAUUCAAUAAAAUAUAGAAUAAAUAAAGCUUUCAAUGAAACAAAACUAAGUAAAUUCAUUUAAAGCAAAACAGGAUGCGAGCAUUACCUAAGGGUUCUUGACCAUACUAUGUUUACCCGCAGUCAGAUAUCUGGGACCUUGUUAUUUGGAGACAAGACUUGAUUGUGCCAUGUUUUCCACAGCCAGAUAUCUUUUACUUCAUUAUUUCCUAGACAUCUGUGGAUAACAGAACCCUAAGCCUAUUGAGAAUAAAUUCCGUAAUCCAAGACUCUUCAGUCCUUUCAUUUGUGGCUAAUUAGUUAUAAAAUUUGUGAAUUUCAUGCCCCACGCCCCUUGCAAAAUGUAUUUUAUAUCCUUAAGAUGCCGGUGGAUGAACUGAAAUAAUAAAAAAUGGAAAACAGACUUAAUGUUGAUAGCAUUUCUUAAGAAAAACUUGGGAUGUUUAUAAUUUUCUUAGAGCAUUUGCUGAACUUUCUGUGAUCGCAGUCGAGACGGGUCAACGCUACUUCCCUAAUUGCUCAGAAGUGGUUGAGAAGUUUAUGUUUUUCAACCCCGCUAAUUGCUCAGAAUUGGUUGAUGAGUUUUUGGAUUGUGAUUCGGCCGAUGCUUCCCUCCUAGAAAAGGGUACUCCGGAAGUGCAGAAACUCCAAAGGGCAUGCUUCAUGAAACUUAAAGUAGAGAUGCCGGAGGCAGUCUGCAAGGACAUGGCUUAUCACCAUCGCUGAGGGCUGCCAUCAUCCUGGUCGGCAUUUUACAAGUACAUGGCUGAGAGCAAUCGUUCAGGUAUGCCGGCAUCCUCGGCAUUGAGCAAUUAAGCAUCACCUUUCCCUAAAAGAUGUGUUUGACACCUGGGACACUAAAAGAGUUUAGUGAGCUCGAUUGGUACUUGUGGAGAUACCCAGAGCCUAUGUUACGGCUAUGUAUUGUCAAGUAGCAGAGAAAUUUUAAUGAAUGAUGGAUGAUUUUCUUGUGACUCUUUUGGUAACAAUCAUGUAACGAUUUCAGUAAUGUUAACAUUAUGGCAAUUUUCUUUUUCUUCAAGUAAUCUGGCAUUUAUCAAUUAGGUUGUAGAAUUUAUUAUAUUGUCUGGAGUCACACGAGGGAAAACCUUAGGUGUAACUGUGGUACCGUGUCAUAGUUGCAUUCAGUCGUUCGAUGUCAGUGGACUCUAUCAAUCCAAAUGCAUUCAAUGGCUGGAUGCAAUUGUGGCCGGUGCCACAGUUGCACCGUAGCCUGAUUCGUCACACGAACGCAUAACAUUGAUGGAAUGGAUCACGUUAUCAUGAAUGUAUAAUUAACAUCAGUUGCUGAACAAACUUUGCCUUUCAAUUUUGUAGACAUUACAAUCUCAAAUUUUCUAUUAUCAUUAAUGAGAUUUUAGGUAAUCUUUUUUUAAAAAAAAAACUAGAGAUUUCUUUUAUUUUUCCUUAAAAAAAUAAAGAAAAUUUUAGAAAGUAGUGAGAGAUGGAGAAUUAAAGCAAUUUUAUUCACAAAUGUAAUGUGCUUGGAGUAGCAAUACAAACUAACAAAUUAUAAUUUAUGAGAUUAGUUUACAAAAUCUUAUAUAUAAAAUUAUAUCCUCUAAAUAAAAAUAUUCUCACCUCUUUUGACUUAUCAUUUAUGAUGCGUUUGAGAUUGAGGUGCUGUAAUUUUUAAACUACAGUUGCUGUGAAAAAAAUGUUAUAAUUAUGAAACAAAAGUUAGUAAUAUUUAAUAAAUAUAAAUUUAAAUAGUAAUUUUGACAAAAUUAUUAAAGAUAAAAUAAAUUUUCUAUGAAAAAUCAUAUCAGCAUAGUUUUUAAGUUACAACAGUUAGUGUUUACCAAACACUUUAGUACUGUAAUUUAAAGUUGCCCAACCUCAAUUCCAAACACACCCUUAGAUGCCCUUUCUAGAAUCUCUCCAGCAAUAAACACAUUUUUAUAAAAUAAAACAAAUAUAUAUAUAUAUAUAUAUAUAAUUGUCAAGAGGAAUCUUACUAAAAUGGUCUCUCAUAAAUUUUUCUCUAAUUUGAGAGAUAGUGGGGAGUGGGGUUAAAGUGCAUCAACAUAGAAUUAAAUAAAAAUAAAUUUUAUUUUUUUAACUAUUUUAAUUAAAAGUAGCAGUUAUUCUUUUUAUUAUUGUUAUUCCAAUUAUCUCAAAAUCAAGUAACUGGGGAUCAAAUUAAGUAGUUCAUUAAAUUUUUUAAAUGACGUAUGGGAUGGUGUAUGGAGUUUUUAUACAUCUAUUUAAAUAGUAAAAUAUUUAAUUUUGCUUGUCGUAAAAUUUUAAUUUACGUGAGUUAAAAAAGAAAAAAAGAAAAAAGAAAUUGACUUAACAAUUAUAGAAAGACUAAAUAGAAAAUUGUAGUUGCGUGGGAAAACUCUGGGCAAAAGGGCUCCUGAUUUCCUUUCCCUGGCUUCGUGCGUUUCCUUUUGCCCUUUCGAGCACGAUUGCACGAAUUCGAAUCCAAUUCUUGAUAAUAAAGAUAUAAUAAGGCAAUCCCUAAGUUACGUUUAACGUAACUUACAGUCUGGCUAACCUGAACCGUUAGAUAUCUUUCAUUUCAAUCCAACGGAUGUUGUUAAAUUUAUCAAAAAUAGUAACAAAUGGCAAACCGGCUAAAUUGGUUAAUUCUAAACAAAAAAAUGUUCAAAAUGAAGGAGAAUGAUCGAGAUAAAUAAAAUCGAACUUUGACUGAAAACGAAGCAAUAUCAGUGUAAAGCUUUUGUUCCGAUUUUGAAUCGAGAUUGACAUAUAUCCAUUGAUGAUUGAUUGCUUUGUUGCCGUUGAAUUACAGAACGGCCACGAAAGCCAAAGAAGACGAGAAGAGUGGGAGGGGGAUGCAAUUGCAGGGGUACAAAGUAGAAGGAUUGUCGAUAGCAAUUUGGGGAAACGUCUCAAAUUUCUUCAACCAUUUCCCCAGGUACCGAAUCAAGCUCAUACCAUUCAAGUUACUUAUUGCGGAGGAAAGCAUCACCUCAUCAAUGUUUGAAGAUGCUCACAAAUAACGCAGACAAAGUUCAGAAACUGAAAAUCCAUCAUGUGCAACCAUCAACAGUAUUGAAGCCUCCGUCGCCAAACACAAUUUCUUCCUAGACGGAUUUUCAUCGCUUGCCUUCUCAAUAGCUAACAAGGCUUGGCUCUCCCAUUCCAUCCUCACACUACCCACGCUACCAUAAAGCAUCUUUAAGUGGACAAAGAAAGUACUUCAAAAUGCAAAGUAACUUAGACGAUCCAAGAUCUGGAGAAUAUUUAAACACAAAGACAAAGCCAAUCUGACCUCUUUUUCUGUUGCAAGUCUCAUAACCAAAUUCGAUUAGGAAGGAUGAUCAACUAGCCCAUGAACUAUCAAAGUCUCCACCAAUUCCCAAAUCCUCAAACUGAUGCAUGCUUCCAAUGCCAAAGAUGCCACAUCUCGACCCAUUAAAAAGCCAACCUUUUCAAUCAAACCCCGAGUAUAUCCACUAUCAAAUCUAUUAAUCCUAGUAGAAAUUCCAACUUUCACACUAAUUUUCUCGAGAUAUGAGUUCAAAAUCCCAAUAAAUGGAGGAUUGUGUUGGACGAGAAGAAACUCCUGUUGCUUAAAGUUCAUGGUGUGUUUCUAAUGGUUAAAACGGCGUCGUUACCUUUGUCACAACUGGUUAUAGAAGCUUUUAGUAACCGGCUGGUAACCGCUUAAAACGAUUUUAUUUUAUUGUUGUCAUGUACACCUGGCAUUUGCUUAUUGGUUAAGUAAUCAUAUCACAGGCUGUAACUUACGAUAAAUGUAACUUAGAGAGGUCCAAUAAUACUAAUAAUUAACAUUAAAAUAUUAAAAAAUAAGGAAAAAAAAUCCAAAUUUUUACUGGUAUAUAACGCAGAGCCAAAGCGAUGGCGAAACAUCAAAUUGUUUUUGUUUCAACCUACGCGCAACUUCCGGUGACAUAAUUUCUGUCUGUUUCAGGUACAUACCCAAAACUAAACUUUGCAUGUAUUAUUAUUGUAUUUUUGUUAUUCAUUCACAUAUCCUUCUUUUCUUUUCUUUUUUUCUUUUGCUGUAAGUUUUUAUGAGACACUCUCUUUCAGUUCUGUUUCUGGUUUUGUUUCAGUUUAACAUUAUUGGUUCCGUUCGGUUCUGUUCUGCUCUGCUCUCUGUUGUAUGUAUAUAUGUAUAUAUUUUUGGCCUCGAAUUGCUUUGAUCACCGGUUUUGUUAUUCAUUUAUCCUGAAUUUUAGAUACCCGUAAAGCUUGUUUGGCCAUGUGUUCACUUGAUUGUUACAUUCAGCUGUCAUUUUCAUGGUGGGUUUGUAAGAUAGUCUCUGACUAACAUAUGGCAUUGAUUAUGAAUGACGGUUUUGUGAGAUACAUCACACCGCCGUUAACUCUUUUUAAUGUGUACUUAUGUACUUACUUCAUUCAAAAGAUUAGUGUUUUUCUCUUUUUUUAAAAAAAAUGAAAUGCCCCUUUUCGCAUUUUAUAGGUGAAAGGAAGAAACAUAAUAUCGCAGAACUAGAAUAAAGGAGCCUAUUCCGGUACCUAUUGUCCAAGGAAGCUUCUGUAUAUUCUGUAGGAACUACCGAACUACCAUGGAAGUCAAAUCUUACCAGAGCCAGGCGGAGUCGUUGCUGAAGGAAUAUAUAUUAGCAGAUCCAUUUGUCCCGUACACUUCAAUUGCUGGUAGCAUUUUUGCAUGCAAGACGGUAUGUUUUUCAUCGUUACUGCAUGGUGUUAUUUACUAGAAAAUAUUUUGAAUGCGUAGUUUUUAUGUAAUUAGUUAUAAAUUUUUAUAUACCUUUUUUUUUUCAUAAGAAUGUGCUCCUUUUCAGGUCUAUGAUCUUGCCCAAUUGAUUAGUGUGCUGUUCACUUUAAAUCUGAUUCCAGUUUCUCCAGCAUACAGCGGGUUGAGUGGAGUAACAGGUGAUUGAAUAUUUUCAUUUAGUUCAAUUGUCAUUUCUUUUUCAAUCGGUAAAGUUUAAUCAUUUUUCUUAAAUUGACAACUUAUGCAGGGCCAUAUCAACCGUCCAUGCCAUUUUUGUUUCAGCUAUGUCUUUGUACUUUGUGUUUUGGUCGAAUAUAAGAGUUUGUACAUAGCACACUUGUUGUUUGUUUGUCCCUUCAUAGACAUUUCGAUAAACUGUUAUUUUUGUUUGUUGGAAUUGAAUAUUUUCCACAACUAGAACUCCGAAGCAUCUGGAAUGAUCCAUUUUAUCAUUCUCAAUACCUAUAAAAGAAGGACAUAGAAAACAGUUUCCAAAGCAAGUUGCCUGUGUUUUGAAUUUGUCUUUGGAAGCCACUAAUUGCUUGGAGCACACUGUUAGCUAGUCGUGGUUCCAUCCACUUUUUUGGAUAGACAAUUGUGCAUCCAUAUGAUCUGGACUAAACUAGUUUUUAAUAAAUAAUUGCCCAAGGAUUUAGUCUCAGUGUUACAGCCCAGUCUUUGUUGUCAAUACUCUUUCCCCUGUCGUGGAUGAGCGCCAUAACAGCUUCUUAAUGUGCAGUGGCUUUUGCACGGUUGUUUUUUUUCCUUCUGAAGCUGGAGUAGCUAUGGAUAUAGCAGAUGCAGAUGCCAUCAAUUUUUAUACUGGCCUUUCAGCAUCAAAAUCAAAAGGAUCAAGUGGGAACUUAAAGGAGGUUGAUUUCAAUGAAACACCCUCUAAGCAAGCCAAGAGACUCCAAUUAAGCCUGCAAGCUCUGCUUAAAACAGGUAUUUAUAUACCUUAUUAGUUUUUGUACCUUUACAAUUAGCGAUUUUUAUAUCAAACGAGAGAGGUUAAUCUUAGUACAUUGAUAUCUCAACAAAAUUUUAGAACCUUUGGAGCACUAGAGACAUUUUCUUAGAGCAUUUACUGAAGUUUCUAUGAUUGCAGUGGAGACAGGUCGACGCUACUUCCCUCAUUGCUCAGAAGUGGUUGAUAAGUUUUAGGAUUGUGAUUGGUCCGACGCUUCCCUCCUAGAAAAUGGUACUCCUGAAGAGCAGAAAUUCAAAAGGGCACGCUACAUGGUUGAGAAAAAUCGCUCAGAUUUGUCGUCAUCCUCGUCGUCGUCAUCUUCUCCAAAGGAAGGAGUAAAGUGUAAGGGUAGGAAAAUGUGUUGCUUAGCUGCCUGUCUUUUGUUAUUCAUAUCUAGGAAACUAAAAGAGUUUUAGUGAGUUUGAUUGUUACUUGUAGAGAGAUACUCUUCGAGCCUAUGUUAUGGCUAUGUUGUAUAAUAGCAGAGGAACUCCAAGCUUGCGUUGUUGUAUUUUCCC
rnacentral:lncRNA from 1 species